rnacentral:lncRNA from 1 species
AAGGCGUACAGUUCCUCCUCGCAUCAGCGUGUGUGCCGUAUGUGCAUGCCCGGGUGUACAUGUUUUUGGGUGAGUGGCUGUUGAUGCAUUUGCACAUGGGAGCGCAUGCAUGCGUGAUGUGUGGUGUAAAUUUUGCAGUUCCAUUGCCUCCAUCACCAGUGAUGGAUAAUUCUACCAUGAGGGAUGCAAAACUCAGAAAGGCUAGUGGCUACUUUAGUCAACGUUUGUAUGAGAAGUUUUGGCUGAUCUUGAUUCCUGAUCUUGUGGUUUCUUUUUUUGAGAUGCACAUUUGUAUAGCAAAAUAGUUGUAGAUGCAGAUGCACUUUUCAAGUAGCAGCUUUGAACUCUUGAUUUUUAGCUCAUGAGAAGAAAAAGGUCAGUCUUUCAGCUAGUGCUUCCCCUGUGCAAUUGGAGUAUUAUUAUGUUUGGUGGUACUGUCGAUGGUUUUGUUUCUGGUUGGAGCCACUCGCGUUCCUUGUAUCUUGUGAAAGUUAGUAAGAGCAUCUCUAACAACAGUCUCUUGGAGGUUCGAGACGCGGCAGGAGGUCUUACGAGAGGACGUAUCUGGUGCACCAGCGCUUCUUGUGCUACCGGUGCACCGGACGUCUAAACAUGUUCAAAAAAAUCCAAGAGAAAAUUGGUGUAUUAAAAAAACACCAGUCUAUGUUGUCACAAAAAUUCAAACUAAAAUUUAAAGCAUUCCUCGAAAUAUAAAAAUGACAAAUGUGGCAUCAAUGUAAUAAUGGGCCAAAUCUAAAGCCCAACCUGUGUUAUGUACUAUUCAAUAUUUUUGUAUCUUAAGCUAUGUUCCAAAUUUUGAUUUGAAUAUUUAUGACAACGUACAUUAAUAUUAUGUGAAUGUGCUAUAUUUUUUUUCUGAUUUUUUGGGACAUUUGAAAAUGUGCUAAGCGAGUCUGGUGCACCGGUAGCACAAGAACCUCCGGUGCACCAGAUAUGUUCUCGGUCUUACGAAUCCUUGUGAUUUACCCUAAAAGAGUUUGUGAAGGUUUAGAGGCUGCCUCGGGGUAUACCACUGGGAACUGCAUUCGUUGUGAUAUCCGAAGGAGAAUAAGGCGACCUUUCAUGUUAUUAGUGUGCCUUUGUGAUAACACCCGUCCCUCCAAAUGGUGAUCAGCUUGUACAUUGGGAUACAUCGACGUCUUCAGUUAUCACUAACCCUACUCCCAUGUGCGGUUUACUUUGGUCACUUGCUUUGUGUUCAUCAUAUAUGUUUGCAUAUUUGACUCUAGCAAUUGUUUAGGCAUAUAUUUAUAUUCCGACACACCAUCGACGUGGUGAGAGACCCCUAGUCGCCAGGAUACUCAAAAACACCCGUCCCUCCAAAUGGUGAUUAGCUUGUACAUUGGGAUACAUCGACGUCUUCAGUUAUCACUAACCCUACUCCCAUGUGCGGUUUACUUUGGUCACUUGCUUUGUGUUCAUCAUAUAUGUUUGCAUAUUUGACUCUAACAAUUGUUUAGGCAUAUAUUUAUAUUCCGACCCACCGUCGACGUGGUGAGAGACCCCCUAGUCGCCAGGAUACCAUCAGAGCGUCCUGCGCUUAGAAAACUGUCUGUUGGGACAUCCAACGAGGGGUAUAACCCCCAACUAGUCGUUUCCCUCUGAUUAUUCUAUGAAUUCUAUAUUUAUAUUCCGACCCACCAUCGACGUGGUGAGAGACCCCCUAGUCGCCAGGAUACCAUCAGAGCGUCCUGCGCUCAAAAAACUGUCUGUUGGGACAUCCAACGAGGGGUAUAACCCCCAACUAGUUCGUUUCCCUCUGAUUAUUCUAUGAAUUCUCAAAGCGGGUUUAUCAAAAUGCAAAAUCUAGGAGUACUUCAAAUAGACUAUACCUUAAUUCUCUCUCUAAAAAUAUAAUCCCUCCGCCAAAGAAUGUAGGACGUUUUUUCAGCUUAAAUUAAAGUGCCAAAAUUUAUUGUAUUUUCGUACAUAGGUAGUAGAAAAAAAGGCACCCGAGAUGCCUCUUACACAGGUCAUCUGCAGCAUGGUUGUACAUGCAGCGGCUUGUAUUUGUGGCCUGCGGAACAUGGGCCUGGCCUGGGCUGGAAAGAAGCAAGCGUGCGUUCCAUUUGGGGUGCGACGCGGGUGCGUGCCCCAAAAGGAGCCGACGGAAUUCUGGAAGCGACGGAGAGACCUGAUGCGUGUGCCAAGCGACGGCCAAAAGCGCGGUUUCGUUGGGUGUGCCAUUUGCCUGCCGCUAGAGUGGGUGCGCCACUCACUCGCUGCCAUGCGACCGCACUCAUCACCACGGCGCAACGCCAAGGCAAAGGCAAAGCUGCUUUGCGUCUAUUCGUCUCAAAAGACUAAACACGGAAAACAAGAGCCGGUUCUAGCAUCACUAAGGCCUUCAAAUAAGGCCUUCUAGAACGAGCACCGCAGCAGAAAAGCGGUUUUUCUUUACCGUGCCCGCGCGGCCGCAUCGCACCGACGGCCGGCCGCAUGAAAACAGAGCAACAUAGUGUGGUUUGACGUGGUACCGAACAUCGUGUUUCGCCGCUUCCUGUUUGUCUGCAACCGGCCUUGCCUAGGACGGGAUGAAUGGCGGGGGAAGAGCCAGGCUCCAAACUUUGUGUAUCCUCUCUCUACUCUCACCUAAUAUAAUCCAAAUUACAUCGAAAGUCAUCUAAAAUAGAAAUGGGGGACGCGACCGUGGAGCAGUUCUUCGACUAGAAUUUCCACGACACCGUAUCCAACAUCUUUCUUUUAAGAGAAAGAUCUUUGGUUAAAUGUUUUGAUAGUUUAGAAUUUAUAAUUCGUCUCCUACCUUAUCUGGGUUUCUUACCCUUUAAGUCUUGUACUCAAUAUAUACCCGUCUCCAAAGCUUAAUAAUACAUCGAUUCCAUCUUUCUAUCCCUUCUAAUAUGGUAUCAGCCUAACCGAUCCAACCCUAGCCACCGCCGGCCGCUUUCGCCAUGCGCGCCGCCGCCGGGGCGGUCGGCCUCCAUGACUGCCGCCGGGGACCGCGCUGCCCGUACCUAGAGUUCGUUCGUUGGUCGUGUUGACCGGCUGCCCUAGAGAGUCUUUUCCCGAGCCCUUGCUCCGGAUUUUUCUCUCUCUCUCUCACGGUUCAUCUUGAUCGGCGUUUUCUUUAUGGGUUUUCGAUCUAAGAUCGGUUUGCGUCACCCGCCGCCACCGUCGACCCCAUGCGCCUCUACUUCGACACCGGAGCGAUCGGCCGGCCUCUCUCCCGACCUGGCAGCCACGCACGCCGAGGCGGCCCGUCACGACCAGCCGCCGUCCGCGCGUCGGCCCAGCCGUCGCCGCCCUGCUCCGACCGGGACCUCUCCAACACCACCCGCCUCUGCCGCGUCUGUGUGGCCAUCCUGUUGUCUGCCUCGCCGGCCCCGUCGCCGGCUGCGUCGGACUGGUUGCCGGCUGCUUCGGGCUCGCCGGCUGCCUCGAGCUCGGGCGUCGCUGUUGUGUUGGUCGCUCGGGCCUCGCUGUCCGGGCGCCGACGCUAGUUGGCAACUCGGGCACCGAGUGCUACGCUCGUUCGCACGCCGUUCCCGCCAUCCAGCGUCGCCGGCUUCAUCUCGGACUCCGCCGCCACCCCGCCUUCAACGAGCGGCGUCCCCGCCCUCGCGCGCCAUCAGAUUGAUCACUCGCCCGCCGCCGCGAUCCGCCUCAUCUAUACCAUGCGACCGAUCUGGCCCGUCGGUUGCGUGCGCCUCCGCAGGUCCAGUAAAGACUAUCCCGAGUACAGCGUGCCCCUCCAUAGAUCGAGCAACGGGCUGCCGUUGCGUCACUCCAUCGGGCCGCAGCACCGCUGCCCUGUGGUUAUCUCCGCGGCUGCAUGGACUCGUGAAACGCCGCUGCAUCACCCCUUCGGGCCGUAGCGCUAUGGCACGUGGUCCCCGCCGCUGCUCGAGGCCGCCCCCUUCGGGCCGUAGUGUUGAAGAGAAUUCAAGAGCAAAUGACUCACACGUUAAGGGGCACCACAGGCCUCCAGGUGCCAAUGUGGUGCAGAAGAACUUCCACCAGUUUAAGGGAAAGAACUUGGUCCAGCAGAAUACCAACUUGAAGAAGAAGGGUAAGAACAACAACAACAAAAAGCACACAAAAAAUGGUUGCUUCACUUACAAUGACGAUGGCCACUGGGCCUCCAUGUGCCCGUGGAAGUUCAAGAAGCCAGGAAAGAAUUCCAGUCUGUUAACGUGACCAUGAGCAACAAUGAUAAUGGGGCAUAUGGGUACGCUAAUUUAUUUACUAUGUUUUCAAUUUGUUAGUCUAAUGAUUGGUGGAUUUAUACAUGUGCAAAUAUUCAUGUGUGUUCUGAUAUUUAGUUGUUCUCUUCUUAUCAGGUCACAUGAUGCUGCUCUGUAUCGACGAUGAAUGGAGCGAGUGCUUCCGUUCAUGGUGUUGCCAUGGUAGAUCUGAAGUUUUACUUUGGGAAAGACCAUGCAACUGAAGAAUGUGCAACGUGCCCCCGCUAUAAAAAAUAAUCUCAUUAGUUGCUCCCUUCUAUGUAAAGAAGGCUUUAAGUUAGUAUUCGAGUAUAAUAAAGUAGUCAUGUUGAAAUGUGGACUUUUUGUUGGAAAUGGGUAUGAAUGCAGAGGUUUGUUCUGCCUUUCCCUAGCUAAUUUUCAUAAUAAAGUCGUGAAACAUUCAAACGUUAAUGAAUCUGGCGUUUGGCAUUGGUUUUAUGACUCGGCUAACUUAGAUGACCCUAUUCAAAGGCACUAAAUGUCAUGCGUGUGUGCAAGCAAAGCAACCUCACAAGCCUCACAAGGCUGCAGAGGGGAGAGUGUUGGGAAAAGUAGUAGAAAACAAAAAAAAUUCGUGCCUACACACACCCAAGAGCAAUAUGAAGAUGCAUAACGAGUUGGGAUCACGAUCGUUACCGUCACUGAGUUGCAGCGAAAUAAGAACGUGUUGGUGUAGAUCAUACUUGGAGUCCCUCAAACCAUUGAUGAACGAUCCCACGAACCGCCUACAAACAGUCCCUCAGACUAAAGACCGUAAGCAUGGCCUCUCUACUUGGUUGCAAGCGUGCAACCUUCAUGAUCCAGCAGCGCUUCGCCAUCCAGAGCUAAUCAUUGCCGGAGAAUCAGAGGGAGGAGAUCAAAACCACACUUGGCUUCUCAUUAUGAGUAUUAGAGGAUUAGUCUAGCUCUAAUUAGUCAACUAGAACCAACUAGAACUAGAACUAGAAGAACUAGAGGAGGCCAAUCGCACUACUCGAAAUUAUCCAUGAGCUAAAACGCACCAAAGGGAAGGGCGUCCUACUCAAGUUGGAUUUUGAGAAAGCCUACGACCGAGUGAACUGGGAGUUCAUUCAGGAGGUUCUCCUUAGAAAGGGUUUCGAGGCGAGCUUUGUCCACCGUAUCACGCACUUAGUCAGCAGUGGUCAUACGGCGGUCACCAUCAAUGGCACGAUGGGCAAAUCUUUCCGCAACAAGAGGGUCCUUCGCGAAGGAGACCCUAGCUCCCCGCUCAUUUUUAACUUCGUUGCGGAUGCCUUGGCAGCCAUGCUCAACAAGGCAAGGGCGGCAGGGCAUAUCAAAGGCCUGGUACCCCACCUCAUCCCAGGUGGGGUUACUCAUCUGCAAUACGUGGACGAUACGAUGAUGCUCUUUGAGCCAUACGAACAUAGUAUUGCCACGAUUAAGCUGCUGCUUCUUGCCUUUGAAAUCUUGUCGGGGCUAAAGAUUAACUUCCUAAAGAGCGAAGUGAUCACAAUAGGGAUGACCGAUCAUGAUAGUGUGCGGGUGGCCAACCUUCUAAACUGCAAGCUUGGGGGCUUCCCGAUCAAAUACCUUGGCCUCCCAAUCUCUCAUAAGAAACUUUCCAUUGUUGAAUGGGAACCUUUAUAUGGUAAAGUGGCCAAUAGGGUGAGCCCUUGGAGAGGCAGGUUCAUGUCCUCGGCGGCUAGAUUGAUCCUCACCAACUCGAGCCUAUCUUCUCUUCCCCUUUUUACAAUGGGAAUGUUUCUCCUUGUGGAUGGUGUCCAUGCUAAGUUUGACACCCCUCGCUCCCGGUUCUUUUGGGAAGGAACUGACAAUAAACGCAAAUACCACUUGGUGAAAUGGGCAGCGGUCUAUAGACCAAAGAAAUCCGGAGGCUUGGGGAUUACUAACUCCAAGCUAAUGAAUGUGGCCCUUCUCACCUGGUGUCGCCUUGCCCAAAAUGAGUCGGGACUCUAGGCGGACAUCCUACGGGCAAAAUAUUUCCCGGACAGGAACUUGUUCAAGGCUAAACUAUCCGGCUCCUCGUUUUGGAACGGGAUUCAAGCGGUGAGGCCGGCCUUCUCUGUAGGGGCACAAUUCAACGUGAAUAACAGCAUGGCCACGAGGUUUUGGCUUGAUCUUUGGUACGGACAAUCGCCGCUAUGGCAAUCCCACCCGGUGUUAUACCAACUUGCCACUGACACUGUAGCGACUAGACCUCAAACAGUCUAGUCUCCGUGCAUCAGUGUCAUCCCUGGAUCGGUAAUGCUGACACGCACAGUACUUGAAGGAUUUAUAACAGAGUAGCAAUCACACACUUAUUACAUCGAAUAGUCUCAAGAGAGAACUUAAUACAAUAAAUAUGGCUUAAGGCCAUCUAAAUACGAUAACAACGGAAGCCUUGGAAGAUAAAGUGAGUCCAUCAACUCCAGCGGCAUCACUGAGUAUAAGACCACGACCUAAGGCUCCUUACUCGUCGUCUGAAAAGUCUGCAACAUGAUACGUUGCAGCCCGAAAACGGGUCAGCACAUGGAAUAUGCUGGCAAAGUAACACAUAGAGAGUAAUGAACAGAAUAAUGCUAUCACUACAUGCAUAUUUGGCUGGUGGAAAGCUCUAUGGUUACAGUUUUUGCGAAAAGCCAAUUUUUCCCUACCACAAAGGAAUAAAUUUUAUUUAACUAUCAUGGUGGUUGUUAAACAUUGAGAAGGUACCUCCAACUCAAUCCCAAUUAAGAACGUGAUUAACCCAAUCAAAUUAAAUUAAGUAACAUGAUGAUGAGAUUCACAUGAUAAUCCAAGAAACUAGAUACUCAAGAUGUCCAUAACCGGGGACACGGCUAACCAUGAUUAGAUUGUACACUCUGCAGAGGUUUGCACACUUUUCCCCACAAGACUCGAUCGCCUCCGCUUGAUUUCUCGCACUACAAGGUGUUUGAGAAACGGAUGACCGAGACACAGUCUUUCAAAAACACUACUCUUUACUCCGGGUGGACAGUUACACCUACUUUCCCCUGCAUGUGCUAGCCCACCUCUUCAAGAGGUCAUGUAACCUACUCAACUAUGCUAGAGCCCAUAAUAGCUUGUGGCUGCACACGGAAGUUUCUAGCAUGAAUAAUCUCAUGAUCCCUUUGAACCUGGGUGGCGGUCCAUAGGAUGAUCACACGGGUACUCCGGCAUAUCCAAAAAUACAGGCAACACUGGAUUCUCCAGGUGCCUCAAUCCACCUAGAUGUAAAUUAAAAUAGCCACCUUAAGUUGAACCUUAAAUUAACAAUCUCACAUCUGUCAUGGAAAAUUCACUCAAACCCAAUCCACGUCUACGAGCAUAGCAUAACAAUAUAAGCAACGCAGAAGUAACUCCCAAAGGUUUGAUAAUAAACAGGGCAAUAGGUACUACCUCAUCUACUUCCCAAAACCCACAUAUUAAUCAGAUCCUAAUCAUGCAAUUGUUUGAGGAUUGAUCUAAUGCAAUAAAACUGGGCGGUAAAGAGGUAUGAUCAAAGUGUUACUUGCCUUGCUGAUGAUCCGUGAAACCUAGAGACUCGUAGUAGCACGCUUCGCACUCUGGGUACUCUAUCGCAAACAACAACACAUACAUAAGCAAUCAAGAAAGGGUGCAUGAGUAAAACUCAAAAUAAGAGAUCUAACCAGAAAGUUCAACUUAAGAACUCCGGUUUGCAAAAAGAAUCAAAUCGAACGAAGCAACGAAACUCAAACGGCGAAAGAAACAAGCUUCAUUUACUAAUCUGGACCUAAGUCAAAUUUUACAGUAGCAAAAACUUGUUUGAGUUGGUUAAACAGAAAGAGGGUUUCAAGAUGAAACUCUAGGCGCUUGAAUCGCCUGAUUCCGAUAAACGAGCGAAAAGUUAUAUUAAAACGAAAAACAGAUCGGAAUCGCGAUCGAAAAUAAUCGCGGAAAAUCCGAGAAAAAGAAAAACUGACGAACAGGCUAACGAACGAAUGUUCGCUGUCUGCGAUUAAACGAGGGAAAUCAUUCGUUAAAACAAACGUACGGACGAACGUCCGCAAAAUAAAUAAACCGGCAAAAAAACUAAACCGAUCUAUAAAAUAAAAACAAACCGCGGUUUUUUUUAAAAACCGAGCGGUUCUCUAAAGAAAACCGCCGGCGGUGGCGGCGAACUCCGGCGGCUACCUCGUCGGGCGGCGGUGNNNNNNNNNNNNNNNNNNNNNNNNNNNNNNNNNNNNNNNNNNNNNNNNNNNNNNNNNNNNNNNNNNNNNNNNNNNNNNNNNNNNNNNNNNNNNNNNNNNNNNNNNNNNNNNNNNNNNNNNNNNNNNNNNNNNNNNNNNNNNNNNNNNNNNNNNNNNNNNNNNNNNNNNNNNNNNNNNNNNNNNNNNNNNNNNNNNNNNNNNNNNNNNNNNNNNNNNNNNNNNNNNNNNNNNNNNNNNNNNNNNNNNNNNNNNNNNNNNNNNNNNNNNNNNNNNNNNNNNNNNNNNNNNNNNNNNNNNNNNNNNNNNNNNNNNNNNNNNNNNNNNNNNNNNNNNNNNNNNNNNNNGAUGGGGGCUAGGGUUUCGCGGGCGGCUCGGGUGGGCUGGGCGCCGGGGUCGCGGCUUAUAAAGGCCGGCCCGAGGAGUCCCGCUCGGGUACGGCCCGGAGUCGGUUGACUUUUUUUUAAAAUAAUUUGGACAUGCAGAAAAAGUAAGAAAAGAAAUACUAAACGGACUCCAAAAAUCCCGAAAUAAAUUUUCCCCGUCCUCUAAAAAUAAGCCGGACAAGAUGAACAUUUAUUUGGGCCAAAAAUGCAUUUUUGAAAAACACGUAUUUUUCCUAAUUCAAAUAAAAUCCAAAUAAAAUCAAAUAUCUGUUUUUAAUAUUUUUCCUCCAAUAUUUCAUUAUUUGUGGAGAAGUCAUUUUAUCCCCUCUCAUAUAUUUUGAUAUGAAAUAUUUUCGGAGAGAAAAAUAAUUAAAACAAAUGAUCCUAUUUUCAAAAUAUGAGAAACCCAAAUAUGAAAAUAACGAAAUCCCCAACUCUCUCCCUGGGUCCUUGAGUUGCGUGAAAUUUCUAGGUCGCAAAACAAAAUGCAAUAAAAUAUGCCAUGCAUGAUGAUCUAAUGUAUAACAUUCCAAAUUGAAAAUUUGGUAUGUUACAGACACCAAUAUAAUGGUGGGCGAUGCAUUGAGAUCCCACUCCCCGGUGAUUUCCUUCGUGUGCCCACUUGACCCAGUCGAGGCUGCUAGCUGCGCUACGUUGGUGGCCUCCUUCGAGGGGAGACAUCUCAGCCAGGGGGCUGAUGUGCUGUCAUGGAGCCUAGCUGCGUCUCAAAAGUUUACGGUCAAAUCUCUCUAUUACAAGCUGACCGAGGGAAACUCGCUAGACAUGGCUAAGGGGCUAUGGAAGGCGGGCCUCCCUCUCAAAAUCAAAAUUUUCAUGUAGCAAAUGUUUGGCAACCGCUUACCAACGUCGGGUAAUGUGGCCAAGUGUAACGGGCCAGCGGAGGAACUUGUGCCGUAUGCGGUUUAGGGGAACACGCAAAUCAUGUUUUCUUCGGUUGCUUCCUAGCCAGGUUUGCGUGGAGCGCCGUGCGGGAAGCUUUCCAGCAGAACUGGAAUCCGCAAUCCAACGUAGAUUUGCUUGCUAUUCUUUCGGCCCAGAGGGGCUCUAAUGCUAGGAUUGUUUGGUGUUGCGUUGGGGCGCUUCUUUGGUCUUUAUGGACGACUAGGAACAAAAUUACUAUGGAAAAGAAGUUCCCAGCUCACCUCCCAGCUCACCCUGCUGACAUUAUCUUCAAAUGCCACAUCUUCUUACAGACUUGGGUGCCAUUGGGGAAGCCGCGUCAUGCUGACCGCAUGGACGGAAUCAUGGAGCAGAUCAAGCUUACGAUGGUGAAGGCGCGCAGGACCGAGGCGCCUCCAUGAUACUUUUGGUUGUGGUUCCUAGUUUGCUGCUGGAAUGUUUAUGAUGCAUGACCGUGAUGGUCUGUACCUUGACUAUUUCGGGACGGUGUAGUCCUUCUUAUUUUGGUGAUGUGAUGUGUAUGCAUUAAACCGUCAUUGAUGCUGCCUUGUGGCUUUAUUAAUUUAAAGCCGGACGCUUCUAGCGUCUUCAUUCCAAAAAGAAAUAGAGGAGGCUCCAAAACUUGUGUGUAAAAGAGCACCAAACCUCAAGUAUAUAUAGGUUAAAGGGGAGAGGGAGGGCUGCCACCAGUGUGCCGGCCUAGGGGGAGGAGUCUGAUUCCUCCACCCCAAUUCGGCCUCCUUCCUUAGGGAAGGGGCACGUCCCCCUUUGUGGCCCAAGUUGCCUUCCACCUUUUGGCCCUUUAAGGCCCGUUGAUAUUAAAUUAAAUAUAAGAAUAUUCUAUAUAUUAUUUAUCGGUAAUACCCGGUAUUACCCGAUAUUCACCGAACCCUUCCGGUGACCCCAAAACGCUUCCGGAUCCUCGAGGAACUAUUCUGAAUAUUAAUGAAAAAAUUCCACAAAUAUAUUAUCAUCAGUCCCAUCCUACGAACACUCAGCAGAUCGUGGUUACCUUAAGCUUGUGGCCCUAUAGGUUCGGUAACUCAUAGACAUGAACGAAACCCCUUCAUCCAAUGACCGAUAGCAAAACCAUGGACGUACAUAUCGAUCCCUAUGAGCACAUGAAUGAUAUUCGAGUGAACCUUUGGUUAUCAUGUGAUGUUCCCUUUGCUUCACGAUACUUUACAGAAGCCGGGAUGCAUCAGUAUCCUCCAGAGUCAACACAUGCUCACUAUACCAAAAUCCUCGUUACCGGUUUUGUUCAUUUUUCUCAUUGUCGUGUCCCGGCAUCCCCAUGACGUAGUCACAUGUGUCUGGCUAGACAAUGAUGGAAGUCAUCACACUGAGAGGGCCCUAAGAAUCUCUCUCCAUCGUCAGAGGAGCAAAUCCCACUCUCGAGCUAUCUAGUUGCUUGUCAAACUUUUCGAUAAACCCGUAAGUUGUCGUUAUGAUCACCGUGUUACAGGCGACGUUUGAGCAACCUCAAAGCUCAUCGUACGGUAAGAAGUGACUACGAUACUCUCAUGGUCUAAGGAGCAAAAUCACACGUUAACACUUCGUGUUAUUACAAUUGAUUAUAGAUGAUAUUACUCAAUUCAUAACAGACAAAUUUGGGUCGAUUCAAUAUGACCGUUCUUACAAUGUCAUAAUCUCAAUGUUGUUUUAGGAAUAUUGUUUAUCCUAAGAUCCGAAAAACGUGAUCACCAGUAACACUUAAGCUAGUCCUAGAGGCAAAACUAGGAAUCUUUUAUUUAACCGUUUAUCACUCCACACUUGCUUUAUGGCUUUUCCACUGAAUCGCGUACUCCAAGAUCAUAGCAGUUAUAUCAUAGAAUAUAAACUCUUUAAUUAUGAAUACGGAAAUAUAAUAAUACAAAUAUUAUUGCCUCUAGGGAAUAUUUCCAUCAGUCUCCCACUUGCACUAGAGUCAAUAAUCUAGUUUACAUAGUCUUUGUAACACCUAUGGCUAUCCAGUGUUGCUCAUGUUUUGCUCGUGGUAAAGCCUUUAUCAUCGGGCCUUACACAUUCAAAUCCAUGUGAACUUGAGAAUUUUCACAUAUCCCUUCUCAACAUAUUGUCGGAUAAUGUGAUACUUGCGUUCAGUGUGCCUGGCCUUCAUGUGUGAUCUAGGUUCCUUUGCUUGAGCAAUGGCUCCCCUAUUAUCACAAUAGAGAGCCAUUGGAUUCACCACACUCGGUACCACACCAAUUUAUUCAAGAAACUUCUUGAUCCAGAAUGCCUCCUUUGAAGCUUUGGAAGCCGCAAUAUAAUAUGCUUUUGUCGUAGAAUCUGCAACAGUGUUCUGUUUGAAAUUCUUCCAAAUAAUUGCACCACCAUUAAGUGUGAAAACAUAACCUGAUUGAGAUUUAUAGUCAUCUAUAUCAGUCAUGAAGCUAGCAUCGGUGUAACCAUUUACAACGAGUUCUUCAUCUCCUCCAUAAGCAAGGAGCAUGUCCUUUGUUCUUCUGAAGUACUUAAGAAUAUUCUUAAUUGCUGUCCAGUGAGCCACUCCUGGAUUAGUCUGGUAUCUGCUACUAACACUUAGUGCAUAAUAAACAUCUAGUUUUGUACAUAUCAUAACAUACAUGAUGGAGCCAAUAGUAGAGGCAUAUGGCACUCCACUCAUUUGCACUCGUUCAUCAACUGUCUUGGGACAUUGAUUUAUGUUAAGUGUUAUGCCAUGUGACAUUGGGAGAAAACCUUUUGUAGCAUUCUCCAUUUUAAACCACUUUAAAACCUUGUCAAUGUACAUGCUCUUACUUAGUGCUAUUAGACUUCUAGAUCUAUCUCUAUAGAUCUUUAUGCCCAAUAUAUGCAGCUUCUCCUAAGUCUUUCAUUGAAAACACACUUUUCAAAUAGUCUUCUAUUGUGCUAAGAUACUUUGUAUCAUUCCUAAUCAACAAUAUGUCAUCUACAUAUAAAAUAAGAAAUGCUACAAAACUCCCACUAAACCUGUUGUAUACACAAGCUUCUUCAUCAUUUUUAAUGAAGCCAAACUCUUUUACCACUUCAUCAAAACAUUGAUUCCAGCUCCUUGAUGUUUUCUUCAAACCAUAGAUUGACCUUUGAAGCUUAGACAUCUUUCCAGCAUUCUUUGGACUAACAAAACCUUCUGGUUCUAUCAUGUAUACAUCCUCUUUCAAAUUUCCAUUUAGGAAUGCAUUUUUGACAUUCAUCUGCCAUAUCUCAUAGCUGAAAUAUGCAGCUAUAGACAUCAUAAUCCGUACAAACUUUAGCAUUGCCACUGGAGAGAAAGUCUCAUCAUAAUCAACUCCCUCUACUUGCAAAAACCCUUUCGCAACUGGCCUUGUUUUGUAGAUGGUGGGAUUACCAUCUGCAUCUCACUGGUGCAGCGCCCUUCUAUACAAACAUGUUUUACCCCUUUCUGCGAUGGAGUUUUAAACCGUCGCCUUGUCAGUGUGUGCGAUAGGGGGGAGGGGGUCCUUCCCACAUGACCCAGAAACCGUCGGGGAUAGGCCCUCUGGUCACACACGCGGGGAAAAAAGAGCUCGUGUACGAUCGGGCGAGCCAUCGUAGACAAUUAUAAAGGCCCAACCGUUUUCGUUCGUAAGUACAUCUCACACAGUGAAUCCAAGCCAUACAUUUCCAUUCAUAUGUACAUCCCACACAGUCAAUCCAAGGAAUACAUUUCCAUUUGUAUGUACAUCCCACAUAGUCAAUCCAAUAAAUACGUUAUUGUUCGUAUGUACAUCCCACACGGUGAAUCCCAGACAGACAUUUCCAUUCACAUGUACAUCACACAAAAAUUUCCCCAUCAAAUCGUUUGUGAUAGCAUUGUCAUUGCAGAUGAUAUUAACAAUUUUAUCGUUUGCGUUAUUGAAUGCAUCAUGCACAGUGCCUAGAAGAAACUGUGUGGCAUAUGCUGUCCAUCACACACACUUUUUAUGUGGAAAACGUUUGGCGCAGGUGGCCUAACGCAAACAGUUUCUAGAGGAAGUCGUGUGUGAUUGUUCAUUGAUCCAACAUGUUUACUUCCUAGAACCUGUGUGGGUUGUCUGAGGUCAUCGCCCAUGGUGUUUUCUCAAUAACCAUUUGCAAUAGAAAAACCCAAUAAGCAGGCUAAUUGGCCUAUUAUUAUUAAUCCAUUUAGUAAUCAAAUUGACACUUCAUAUUGAGCACACAAUAUAUUUCAUUUUCAUAUUACAUAACCAGGAUUUCAUAAUUGAAAUACAUCAGAGUACAACAUAAUAUAGCUUUAGCACUCAGUUACACCAUAUAGGCAUAUAGCUAGCUACCCCAUUACACAACUGCACCAGCACCAAGUUUCACAUGCAACAUCUAUAACCUUUGGAAAUUAGCGUCAUAGACGGUAGAUAGAUAGAUCAAUCUCAUCUGGAAAACCACUGAAGCGGAAGGCGAAUAUUGAGCCUUCAAUGAUGUUGAAGGUCCUUGCAACUUUAGGCCAAUGCCUGUGGAUUAUUGACCGUCCAACCUUCAUCCCCUUGAGGAAGACUUCAACAUUGUACAAUGGGUGUUGUAUGAAUACCUUUGUCGCCUCCUGACCAUACAGGUGGUUUGAGAGGUAAUCAUCAGUGAACUGCUUUGAAAAGGCCUGAAAACAAAGAUAUGCAUAGAUAUCUUCUCUAAAUUUGGAAAUGGCGCAAAGGAAUAAAAAAACAAGGUAUAAGAGUUAGUACCAUCCUGUAGUUCACCGAUGUCUUCUUCAUUGUGCAGACAAAGAUCUUGUUGUUUUUCGUCACUGGUUUCAUUAUCCUAACAAUCUUUCUGAGUUUCUUGACUUGACUGAUAUUCAUGGACAACUCAUUCCCCCAUAUGCAAAAUGGUUCGAACAGUGGGUCAAAACCUCUGACAGCAGGACCUACAUGUGCAAGACCAAAUUGUUAAAAACCUAAAUAUUAGAAUGGUUCCUGCAAUUGCACAAUAAUGUGCUAUUAGACAGAGGACCAUGCAUGCACAAACCUCGAUUGUAAACCUCAGUGAUUCCCAUUGUUUCCCUGCAACACAUAUAAGGUAGUUAUUGAUCAGGUUAAGUGAGGUUUGGCAUACUAUCAGUAAAAUAUGUUGAUGAAAAGUAAACACAUUGCAGAUUCAGCAGAUUAAUUCAAGCCACAUGGAAAAGCCAUUUAUCCAAACCAAGCAUGAUUAAGAACUAUAAAAUAUAGCAAUUGUAUAUGUUUCUCAUGUAUUUAGUACGUCCAAAUUCGAUUUAUUCCUCACAUGCAUAACAAUACAAAAUUGUACCCACAACAAUUGAACAUCACAUUGCAGAAUUGAACCAAACAAUUAACUAAACACCACAACAAAUGAACCAAACAUUAACUGAGCACCACAUUGCACAAUAUAUAACAUACUAGAAGAUCAGACAGUUAACCAACCAAGCAUGCUUAACAACUUGGAAAUAUAGCAAUUGUAUUUGUUUCUCAUGUAUUUUGUACAGCCAAAUUCGAUUUAUUUCUCACACGCAAGACAAUACAAAAUUGCACCCACAAGAAUUGAAAAUCACAUUGUAGAAUUGAACCAAACAGUUAACUGAACACGACAACAAAUUAACCAAACAGUUAAUAAGUGAGCACCACAUUGCACAACAUAUAGAACAUAUAUACUAGAGGAUCAGAUUGCAUGGUAACAAUACAUAGGACAAUUCGCUAGAAUUUGUUAAGGAAAGGUAGGAGCAGCACAUGCAAUAGGUAAUCAGAACAUGCUUAAGCGGCGUAGCUAGUUAGCUACUCCUCAUCGUCGGAGAUAUCGAUGACGAUUGGCUCCUUGGACUUGGAAGAGGGCAAGGCCUCCACAUCGUGGGUGCCCUCCUUGUAGUGGUGAGUUUGCUGAGCCACUCCAGGCACCAACCUGCUGGCUCUCGAGUUGAGGCAAGCAUGGGCACGCUGAGAAAGAACCUCGUAGUCUUCGUCAAAGGCACCGACGGUGGCCUCGAGAAAACGCCAUGAACUAUCGUUUAAAGCAGCCAACCGCGUCGUGGCAUCGGCGCAUGAGGCGUCGACGGUGGCCUCGAUGGCGAGGUGCUCCUUCAUGUCUACUAUGCAACCUUCUCCUUGUAGACGUUGUUGGGCCUCCAAGUGCAGAGGUUUGUAGGACAGUAGCAUUUUUUUCCUCAAGUGGAUGACCUAAGGUUUAUCAAUCCGUGGGAGGCGUAGGAUGAAGAUGGUCUCUCUCAAACAACCCUGCAACCAAAUAACAAAGAGUCUCUUGUGUCCCCAACACAGCCAAUACAAUGGUAAAUUGUAUAGGUGCACUAGUUCGGCGAAGAGAUGGUGAUACAAGCGCAAUAUGGAUGGUAGAUAUAGGUUUUUGUAAUCUGAAAAUAUAAAAACAGCAAGGUAUCAAGUGAUAAAAGUGAGCGUAAACGGUAUUGCAAUGCUAGGAAACAAGGCCUAGGGUUCAUACUUUCACUAGUGCAAGUUCUCUCAACAAUAAUAACAUAACUGGAUCAUAUAACUAUCCCUCAACAUGCAACAAAGAGUCACUCCAAAGUCACUAAUAGCGGAGAACAAACGAAGAGAUUAUGGUAGGGUACGAAACCACCUCAAAGUUAUUCUUUCGGAUCGAUCUAUUCAAGAGUCCGUAGUAAAAUAACACGAAGCUAUUCUUUCCGUUCAAUCUAUCAUAGAGUUCGUACUAGAAUAACACCUUAAGACACAAAUCAACCAAAACCCUAAUGUCACCUAGAUACUCCAAUGUCAUCUCAAGUAUCCGUGGGUAUGAUUAUACGAUAUGCAUCACACAAUGUCAGAUUCAUCUAUUCAACCAACACAAAGAACUUCAAAGAGUGCCCCAAAGUUUCUACCGGAGAGUCAAGACGAAAACAUGUGCCAACCCCUAUGCAUAGGUUCAUGGGCGGAACCCGCAAGUUGAUCACCAAAACAUACAUCAAGUGGAUCACGUGAUAUCCCAUUGUCACCACAAAUAAGCACGGCAAGACAUACAUCAAGUGUUCUCAAAUCCUUAAAGACUCAAUCCGAUAAGAUAACUUCAAAGGGAAAACCCAAUCCAUUACAAGAGAGUAGAGGGGGAGAAACAGCAUAAGAUCCAACUAUAAUAGCAAAGCUCGCGGUACAUCAAGAUCGUAUCACCUCAAGAACACGAGAGAGAGAGAGAGAGAGAUCAAACACAUAGCUACUGGUACAUACCCUCAGCCCCGAGGGUGAACUACUCCCUCCUCGUCAUGGAGAGCGCCGGAAUGAUGAAGAUGGCCACCGGUGAGGGUUCCCCCCUCCGGCAGGGUGCCGGAACAGGGCCCCGAUUGGUUUUUGGUGGCUACAGAGGCUUGCGGCGGCGAAACUCCUGAUCUAUUCUGUCCCCCAAUGGUUUCAGGGUAUAUGGAUAUAUAUAGGCGAAAGAAGUCGGUAAGGGGAGCCACGAGGGGCCCAUGAGGGUGGGGGCGCGCCCAGGGGGCAGGCACGCCUCCCUGCCUCGUGGCCACCUCGAAGCUUCCCUGACUUCAACUCCAAGUCUCCUGGAUCACGUUCGUUCCAAAAAUCACGCACCCGAAGGUUUCAUUCCGUUUGGACUCCGUUUGAUAUUCCUUUUCUGCGAAACACUGAAACAAGGGAAAAUACAGAAACUGGCACUGGGCUCUGGGUUAAUAGGUUAGUCCCAAAAAUAAUAUAAAAGUGUAAAAUAAAGCCCAUAAACAUCCAAAACAGAUAAUAUAAUAGCAUGGAACAAUAAAAAAUUAUAGAUACGUUGGAGACGUAUCAGCAUCCCCAAGCUUAAUUCCUGCUCGUCCUUGAGUAGGUAAGUGAUAAAAACAGAAUUUUUGAUGUGGAAUGCUACCUAACAUAUUUAUCCAUGUAAUUCUCUUUAUUGUGGCAAGAAUAUUUAGUUCCAUAAGAUUCAAGACAAAAGUUUAAUAUUGACAUAAAAAUAAUAAUACUUCAAGCAUACGAACAAAGUAAUCAUGUCUUCUCAAAAUAACAUGGCCAAAGAAAGUUAUCCCUACAAAAUCAUAUAGUCUGGCUAUGCUCUAUCUUCACCACACAAAGUAUUUAAAUCAUGCACAACCCCGACGACAAGCCAGGCAAUUGUUUCAUACUUUUGAUGUUCUCAAACAUUUUCAGUCUUCACGCAAUAUAUGAGCGUGAGCCAUGGAUAUAGCACUAUAGGUGGAAUAGAAUGGUGGUUGUGGAGAAGACAAAAAGGAGAAGAUAGUCUCACAUCAACUAGGCGUAUCAACGGGCUAUAGAGAUGCCCAUCAAUAGAUAUCAAUGUGAGUGAGUAGGGAUUGCCAUGCAAUGGAUGCACUAGAGCUAUAAGUGUAUGAAAGCUCAAAAAGAAACUAAGUGGGUGUGCAUCCAACUUGCUUGCUCACGAAGACCUAGGGCAAUUUGAGGAAGCCCAUCAUUGGAAUAUACAAGCCAAGUUUUAUAAUGUAAAAUUACCACUAGUAUAUGAAAGUGAAUCAUAGGAGACUCUCCAUCAUGAAGAUCAUGGUGCUACUUUGAAGCACAAGUGUGGUAAAAGGAUAGUAGCAUUGUCCCUUCUCUCUUUUUCUCUCAUUUUUAAUAUUUUUUUGGGCCUUUUCUUUCUUUUUUAUGGCCUCUUUUUUUAGUCCGGAGUCUCAUCCCAACUUGUGGGGGAAUCAUAGUCUCCAUCAUCCUUUCCUCACUGGGACAAUGCUCUAAUAAUGAUUACCAUCACACUUUUAUUUACUUACAACUCAUGAAUUACAACUCGAUACUUAGAACAAAAUAUGACUCUAUAUGAAUGCCUCCGGCGGUGCCGGGAUAUGCAAUGACUCAUGAGUGACAUGUAUGAAAGAAUUAUGAAAGGUGGCUUUGCCACAAAUACGAUGUCAACUACAUGAUCAUGCAAAGCAAUAUGACAAUGAUGAAGCUUGUCAUAAUAAACGGAACGGUGGUAAGUUGCAUGGCAAUAUAUCUCGGAAUGGCUAUGGAAAUGCCAUGAUAGGUAGGUAUGGUGGCUGUUUUGAGGAAGGUAUAUGGUGGGUGUAUGAUAUCGGCGAAAGGUGCGCGGUAUUAGAGAGGCUAGCAAUGGUGGAAGGGUGAGAGUGCGUAUAAUCCAUGGACUCAACAUUAGUCAUAAAGAACUCAUAUACUUAUUGCAAAAAUCUAUUAGUUAUCGUAACAAAGUACUACGCGCAUGCUACUAGGGGGAUAGAUUGGUAGGAAAAGACCAUCGCUCGUCCCCGACCACCACUCAUAAGGAAGACAAUCAAUAAAUAAAUCAUGCUCCGACUUCAUCACAUAACGGUUCACCAUACUUGCAUGCUACGGGAAUCACAAACUUUAGAACAAGUAUCUCUCAAAUUCACAACUACUCAGCUAGCAUGACUCUAAUAUCACCAUCUUCAUAUCUCAAAACAAUCAUAAGGAAUCAAACUUCUCAUAGUAUUCAAUGCACUUUAUAUGAAAGUUUUUAUUAUAUCCCUCUUGGAUGCCCGUCAUAUUAGGACUAAAUUCAUAACCAAAGCAAAUUACCAUGCUGUUCUAAAGACUCUCAAAAUAAUAUAAGUGAAGCAUGAGAGUUCAUCUAUUUCUUCAAAUUAAAACCACCGUCGUGCUCUAAAAAGGUAUAAGUGAAGCACUAGAGCAAACGACAAACUACUCCAAAAGAUAUAAGUGAAGAUCAAUGAGUAGUUGAAUAAUUAUGUAACUAUGUGAAGACUCUCUCUCAUUUAAGAAUUUCAGAUCUUGAUAUUUUAUUCAAACAGCAAUCAACACAAAAGAAAAUAAAAUGACGCUCCAAGCAAAACACAUAUCAUUUGGUGAAUAAAAAUAUAGCUCCAAGUAAAGUUACCGAUGAACGAAGACGAAAGAGGGGAUGCCAUCCGGGGCAUCCCCAAGCUUAGGCUCUUGGUUAUCCUUGAAUAUUACCUUGGGUUUCCUUGGGCAUCCCCAAGCUUAGGCUCUUGCCACUCCUUAUUCCGUAGUCCAUCGAAUCUUCACCCAAAACUUGAAAACUUCACAACACAAAACUUAACAGAAAACUCGUAAGCUCCGUUAGUAUAAGAAAAUAAAUCACCACUUAGGUACUGUUGUGAACUCAUUCUAAAUUCAUAUUGGUGUAAUAUCUACUGUAUUCCAACUUAUAUAUGGUUCAUACCCUCCGAUACUACUCAUAGAUUCAUCAAAAUAAGCAAACAACACAUAGAAAACAGAAUCUGUCAAAAACAGAACAGUCUGUAGUAAUCUGUAUCAAACGUAUACUUAUGGAACUACAAAAAUUCUGAAAUAAAUUGUUGGACCUGAGGAAUUUGUCUAGUAAUCAUCUGCAAAAAGAAUGAACUAAAUAUCACUCCCCAGUAAAAAUUUUUAGCUAAUCUCGUGAGCACUAAAGUUUCUGUUUUUUUACAGCAAGAUCAUUAAGACUUCACCCAAGUCUUCCCAAAGGUUCUACUUGGCACAAACACUAAUUAAAACAUAAAACCACAUCUAAACAGAAGCUAUAUGGAUUAUUUAUUACUAAACAGAACUAAAAAGCAAUAAACUAAAAUAAAAUUGGGUUGCCUCCCAACAAGCGCUAACGUUUAACGCCCCUAGCUAGGCAUGAUGAUUUCAAUGAUGCUCACCUAAAAGAUAAGAAUUGAAACAUAAAGAGAGCAUCAUGAAGAAUAUGACUAGCACAUUUAAGUCUAACCCACUUCCUAUGCAUAGGGAUUUUGUGAGCAGACAACUUAUGGGAACAAUAAUCAACUAGCAUAGGAAGGCAAAACAAGCAUAACUUCAAAACUUUAAGCACAUAGAGAGGAAACUUGAUAUUAUUGCAAUUCCUACAAGCAUAUAUUCCUCCCUCAUAAUAAUUUUCAGUAGCAUCAUGAAUGAAUUCAACAAUAUAACCAGCACCUAAAGCAUUCUUUUCAUGAUCUACAAGCAUAGAAAAUUUACUACUCUCCACAUAAGCAAAAUUCUUCUCAUUCGGAAUAGUGGGAGAAUCAUAAGAAACCCGAAUACGAUAAAUUGUUUCCACAUUAAAAGAGUAAUGUUAAGAAAAAGGGUGAUCAUAAUCAUGACAAGUUUUAUAAAUAUAAUCAUCACUACUUUUUAUAGCAUAAGUAUCAUCACAAUAAUCAUCAUAAGUAGCAACUUUGUUCUCAUCAUAAUCAAUUGAAACCUCUUCCGAAAUAGUGGAUUCAUCACUAAAUAAAGUCAUGACCUAUCCAAAUUCACUUUCAUAAUUAUCACAAUAAGAUUCAACACCCUCCAAAAUAGUGGGAUCAUUACUUCCUAAAGUUGACACUCUUCCAAACCCACUUUCAUCAAUAUAAUCAUCAUAAGUAGGAGGCAUGCUAUCAUCAUAACAAAUUUGCAUAUCAAAACUUGGGAGGCUAAAAAUAUCAUCUUCAUUAAACAUAGCAUCCCCAAGCUUGGGACAAACAUUAAUUUCAGCAAAUAUAUUCUCAAAUAUGUCAUCCUCAUCAAACAUAGCUUCCCCAAGCUUGGGCCUUUUCAUAUCAUAAGCAUAAUCAUUCUCAUCAUUAAUAGUAUGGAUAGCACCAAUAGUAUAGCAAUUAUCAUCAUCACAAUGAGUAGUAGGAGCAACAUCAUUUGGGAGGGAUACCUUUUUACCUUUGCUUCUCCGUCUUUUAUUUUUCUUCUUCACACCAUGUGUGGGUUGAAUCCUCUUUUUGGAGCUCCUUAUUAAUGAGAUUGGUUGAAUAGAAGGCUCCACCUCGUUACCUGAUUCAUCAUAAGAAAUAAUAGGAGAAUAUUGGGAAGUCUCUUCCCUUUCGUUAGUAUUCUCUUCAUCUUCUAUUUCUUUUCUUUUCUUUAUGUAAUUGGCAAUAUAAGGAUUUUCGAUGCAAUUCACCGCACAAUACAUAUAAAUUUCCUCUAGAUCAAUAUCGAGGAAUUUCUCAAGGUUAUAUUCUGGAAUAUGCUUAGUUUGACGUUUCAUUUCUUCAUAACCCAAAAGCAAACUAAGUUCAUUAUGAUGUGCAAGGGAAAUCAAGUCAUCACAAUUUUUGGACACGAUUCGAUCAUGAAACAAUUUGCAUUUGAUAUUUAAAUGACCAUGUUCAUUGCAAAGUUCACAAGUAUGGCUAAGAUAUUUUAAAUUUUCAGCACUAACAUUUAGCCUCUCUUGCAGCCAUUUAGUUUCUAAGUACUUGUGCCUCUUACAAAAUCUAUCUUCCCUUUUUGGUAUGUAUUUGCAAACUCUAUGCACUCCACAAAAAUUGACAUGCUUAUAAGAGAUAUUUUCAUCAUGACUAGUGCAAUCAUCAUUAGUACCAUGGAUAUUCAAGGAGUUCAUACUAACAACAUUGCAAUCAUGCUCAUCAUUCAAAGAUUUAGUGCCAAACAUUUCAAUGCAUUCUUCUUCUAACACUUUGGCACAAUUUUCCUUUCCAUCAUACUCACGAAAGAUAUUAAAAAGAUGAAGCGUAUGAGACAAACUCAAUUCCAUUUUUUUGUAGUUUUCUUUUAUAAAAUAAGCUAGUGAUAAAACAAGAAACUAAAAGAUUCGAUUGCAAGAUCUAAAGAUAUACCUUAAAGCACUAACCUCCCCGGCAACGGCGCCAGAAAAGAGCUUGAUGUCUACUACGCAACCUUCUCCUUGUAGACGCUGUUGGGCCUCCAAGUGCAGAGGUUUGUAGGACAGUAGCAAAUUUCCCUCAAGUGGAUGACCUAAGGUUUAUCAAUCCAUGGGAGGCGUAGGAUGAAGAUGGUCUCUCUCAAACAACCCUGCAACCAAAUAACAAAGAGUCUCUUGUGUCCCCAACACACCCAAUACAAUGGUAAAUUGUAUAGGUGCACUAGUUCGGCGAAGAGAUGGUGAUACAAGUGCAAUAUGGAUGGUAGAUAUAGGUUUUUGUAAACUGGAAAUAUAAAAACAGCAAGGUAGCAAGUGAUAAAAGUGAGUGUAAACGGUAUUGCAAUGCUAGGAAACAAGGCCUAGGGUUCAUACUUUCACUAGUGCAAGUUCUCUCAACAAUAAUAACAUAACUGGAUCAUAUAACUAUCCCUCAACAUGGAACAAAGAGUCACUCCAAAGUCACUAAUAGCGGAGAACAAACAAAGAGAUUAUGGUAAGGUAUGAAACCACCUCAAAGUUAUUCUUUCGGAUCGAUCUAUUCAAGAGUCCGUAGUAAAAUAACACGAAGCUAUUCUUUCCGUUCAAUCUAUCAUAGAGUUCAUACUAGAAUAACACCUUAAGACACAAAUCAACCAAAUCCCUAAUGUCACCUAGAUACUCCAAUGUCACCUCAAGUAUCCGUGGGUAUGAUUAUACGAUAUGCAUCACACAAUCUCAGAUUCAUCUAUUCAACCAACACAAAGAACUUCAAAGAGUGCCCCAAAGUUUCUACCGGGGAGUCAAGACGAAAACGUGUGCCAACCCCUAUGCAUAGGUUCAUGGGCGGAACCCGCAAGUUGAUCACCAAAACAUACAUCAAGUGGAUCACGUGAUAUCCCAUUGUCACCACAGAUAAGCACGGCAAGACAUACAUCAAGUGUUCUCAAAUCCUUGAAGACUCAAUCCGAUAAGAUAACUUCAAAGGGAAAACUCAAUCCAUUACAAGAGAGUAGAGGGGGGGAAACAUCAUAAGAUCCAACUAUAAUAGCAAAGCUCGCGGUACAUCAAGAUCGUAUCACCUCAAGAACACGAGAGAGAGAGAGAGAUCAAACACAUAGCUACUGGUACAUACCCUCAGCCCCGAGGGUGAACUACUACCCCCUCGUCAUGGACAGCGCCGGAAUGAUGAAGAUGGCCACCGGUGAGGGUUCCCCCCUCUGGCAGGGUGCCGGGACAGGGUCCCGAUUGGUUUUUGGUGGCUACAGAGGCUUGCGGCGGCGGAACUCCCACAAGUAUAGGGGAUCGCAACAGUUUUCGAGGGUAGACUAUUCAACCCAAAUUUAUUGAUUCGACACAAGGGGAGCCAAAGAAUAUUCUCAAGUAUUAGCAGUUGAGUUGUCAAUUCAACCACACCUGGAUAACUUAAUAUCUACAGCAACGUAUUUAGUAGCAAAGUAAUAUGGAAGUAACGGUAACGAUAGCAAAAGUAAUAUUUUUGGGUUUUGUAGUGAUUGUAACAGUAGCAACGGAAAAGUAAAUAAGCGAAGAACAAUAUGUGAAAAGCUCGUAGGCAUUGGAUCGGUGAUGCAGAAUUAUGUCGGAUGUGGUUCAUCAUGUAACAGUCAUAACAUAGGGUGACACAGAACUAGCUCCAAUUCAUCAAUGUAAUGUAGGCAUGUAUUCCGAAUAUAGUCAUACGUGCUUAUGGAAAAGAACUUGCAUGACAUCUUUUUUCCUACCCUCCCGUGGCAGCGGGGUCCUAAUGGAAACUAAGGGAUAUUAAGGCCUCCUUUUAAUAGAGUGGUCCCGAUUAUUGUGAAUACAUGAACUCCUCAAACUAUGGUCAUCACCGGGAGUGGUCCCGAUUAUUGUCACUUCGGGGUUGCCGGAUCAUAACACAUAGUAGGUGACUAUAGACUUGCAAGAUAGGAUCAAGAACUCACAUAUAUUCAUGAAAACAUAAUAGGUUCAGAUCUGAAAUCAUGGUACUCGGGCCCUAGUGACAAGCAUUAAGCAUAGCAAAGUCAUAGCAACAUCAAUCUCAGAACAUAGUGGAUACUAGGGAUCAAACCCUAACAAAACUAACUCGAUUACAUGAUAGAUCUCAUCCAACCCAUCACCGUCCAGCAAGCCUACGAUGGAAUUACUCACGCACGGCGGUGAGCAUCAUGAAAUUGGUGAUGGAGGAUGGUUGAUGAUGACGAUGGCGACGAAUCCCCCUCUCCGGAGCCCCGAACGGACUCCAUAUCAGCCCUCCCGAGAGGUUUUAGGGCUUGGCGGUGGCUCCGUAUCGUAAAACGCGAUGAAUCCUUCUCCCUGAUUUUUUUCUCCCCGAAAGUGAAUAUAUGGAGUUGGAGUUGAGGUCGUUAGAGCGUCAGGGGGCCCACGAGGCAGGGGGCGCGCCCUAGGGGGGCAGGCGCGCCCUCCACCCUCGUGGACAGGGUGUGGGCCCCCUGACGUGGAUUUUUCUUCCAGUAUUUUUCUUAUUUUCCAAAUAGAUGUUCCGUGGAGUUUCAGGUCAUUCCGAGAACUUUUGUUUCUGCACAUAAAUAACACCAUGGAAAGUUUGCUGAAAACAGCGUCACUCCGGGUUAGUUCCAUUCAAAUCAUGCAAGUUAAAGUCCAAAACAAGCUUAAACCUUUGCUUGUCCUCAAGCAAUUCAGUUGAUACGACGGAGACGUAUCAACUCCCGCAAGCUUAAACCUUUGCUUGUCCUCAAGCAAUUCAGUUGAUAAACUGAAAGUGAUAAAGAAAAACUUUUACAAACUCUGUUUGCUCUUGUUGUUGUAAAUAUGUAAAAACCAGCAUUCAAGUUUUCAGCAAAGAUUAUGACUAACCACAUUUGCAAUAACUCUUAGGUCAUGUUUACUCAUAUCAAUGGCAUAAUCAACUAGCGAGCGAUAAUAAUAAAUCUUGGAUGACAACACUUUCUCAAAACAAUCAUAAUAUGAUAUAACAGGAUGGUAUCUCGCUAGCCCUUUCUGAGACCGCAAAACAUAAAUGCAGAGCACCUUUAAAGAUCAAGGACUGACUAGACAUUGUAAUUCAUGGUAAAAGAGAUCCAGUCAUAGUCAUACCCAAUAUAAAUUAAUAGUAAUGGAUGCAAAUGACAGCAGCGCUCUCCAGCUAGUGCUUUUUAAUAAGAGGGUGAUGACUCAACAUGAAAGUAAAUAGAUAGGCCCUUCACAGAGGGAAGCAGGGAUUUGUAGAGGUGCCAGAGCUCGAUUUUAAAGCAGAGAUAAAUAAUAUUUUGAGCGGCAUACUUUCAUUGUCAACAUAACAACCAAGAGAUGGCGAUAUCUUCCAUGCUACACACAUUAUAGGCGGUUCCCAAACAGAAUGGUAAAGUUUAUACUCCCCCUCCACCAACAAGCAUCAAUCCAUGGCUUGCUUGAAACAACGAGUACCUACAACUAGCAACAGUCCCGGGGGGAGUUCUGUUUGCAAUUAUUUUGAUUUAGUUUGCAUAAAGCAUGGGACUGGGCAUCCCGGUGACCAGCCAUUUUCUCGUGAGUGAGGAGCGGAGUCCACUCCUCUUGAGAAUAACCCGCCUAGCAUGGAAGAUACGGACAGCCCUAGUUGAUACAUGAGCUAUUCAAGCAUGCAAAACAUAAUUUCAUUUGAAGGUUUAGAGUUUGGCACAUACAAAUUUACUUGGAACGGCAGGUAGAUAUCGCAUAUAGGAAGGUAUAGUGGACUCAUAUGGAAUAACUUUGGGGUUUAAGGGAUUGGAUGCACAAGCAGUAUUCCCGCUUAGUACAAGUGAAGGCUAGCAAAAGACUGGGAAGCGACCAACUAGAGAGCGACAACAGUCAUGAACAUGCAUUAAAAUUAAUAGACAUUGAGUAUGAGCAUGAGUAGGAUAUAAUCCACCAUGAACAUAAAUAUCGUAAAGGCUAUGUUGAUUUGUUUCAACUACAUGUGUGAACAUGUGCCAAGUCGAGUCACUUAAAUCAUUCAAAGGAGGAUACCACCCCACUAUACCACAUCACAACCAUUUUAAUAACAUGUUGGCACGCAAGGUAAACCAUUAUAACUCAUAGCUAAUCAAGCAUGGCACAAGCAACUAUAAUCUCUAAUUGUCAUUGCAAACAUGUUUAUUCAUAAUAGGCUGAAUCAGGAAUGAUGAACUAAUCAUAUUUACAAAAACAAGAGAGGUCGAGUUCAUACCAGCUUCUCUCAUCUCAGUCAGUCCAUCAUAUAUCGUCAUAAUUGCCUUUCACUUGCACGACUGAACGAUGUGAAUAAUAAUAAGAGUGCACGUUCAUUGGGCUAAGCUGUAAUCUGCGAGCAUUCAAUAAACAGGAGAAGACAAGGCAAUAUGGGCUCUUGGUUAAAUCAACAAUAAUGCAUAUAAGAGCCACUUCAACAAUUUUAAUUAUGGUCUUCUCCUAUCGACCCCCAAAGAAAAGAAAUAAAACUAUUUACACGGGAAAGCUCCCAACAAGCAAAAGAAGAACGAGAAAUCUUUUUGAGUUUUCUUUUUAAUUAUUAUUACUACAGCAAGAAAAGUAAACUAACUAAAAGCUACACUAUUUUUUUCUUAAGGUUUAUCAAACACACAAGAAGAAAGCAAGAAAAAGAAAAUAAACUAGCAUGGAUAUUACAGUGAAAGAGUAUGAGCACCGACAUCUAGCAAUGAGUGUGUGAACAUAAAUGUAAUGUCGGUGGGAAAUACGUACUCCCCCAAGUUUAGGCUUUUGGCCUAAGUUGGUUUAUUGCCACAGAUAAUUCAGAAAACUGACAGAAAAUACUAUUUUUUCUUUAUUUCAACUAAAUAACAGAAAGUAGAGAGAGGUACAGAAGGUUGUGCCUUCUAGUUUCAUCCAUCUCAUGCUCAUCAAAAGGAAUCCACUAACAAGGUUGAUCAAGUCUUGUUAACAAACUCAUUCCGACUAACAUGGAACUGGAGAAAUUUCGAAUAACACUAUGUUACCUCAACGGGGAUAUGCACAUCCCCAAUAAUAAGAAUAUCAUAUUUCUUCUUGACAGUAGGUAGAGGAAAUUCAAAACCUCCAAAAAUAAUUGAUGGAAUUUUUCCAAUAGAAUUGAUACUGUGGACUUGAGGUUGUUUCCUCGGAAAGUGUACCGUAUGCUCAUUACCAUUAACAUGAAAAGUGACAUUGCCUUUGUUGCAAUCAAUAACAGCCCCUGCAGUAUUCAAAAAAGGUCUUCCAAGAAUAAUAGACAUAUAUCGUCCUCGGGAAUAUCAAGAAUAACAAAGUCCGUUAAAAUAGUAACAUUUGCAACAAGAACAGGCACAUCCUCACAAAUACCAACAGGUAUAGCAGUUGAUUUAUCAGCCAUUUGCAAAGAUAUUUCAGUAGGUGUCAACUUAUUCAAAUCAAGUCUACGAUAUAAAGAGAGAGGCAUAACACUAACACCGGCUCCAAGAUCACAUAAAGCAGUUUUGACAUAGUUUCUUUUAAUGGAGCAUGGUAUAGUAGGUACUCCUGGAUCUCCAAGUUUCUUUGGUAUUCCACCCUUAAAAGUGUAAUUAGCAAGCAUGGUGGAAAUUUCAGCUUCCGGUAUCUUUCUUUUAUUAGUGACAAUUUCUUUCAUAUACUUAGCAUAAGGAUUCAUUUCGAGCAUAUCAGUUAAUCGCAUACGCAAAAAGAUAGGUCUAAUCAUUUCAGCAAAGCGCUCAAAAUCCUCAUCAUCCUUUUUCUUGGAUGGUUUCGGAGGAAAAGGCAUGGGUUUCUGAACCCAUGGUUCCCUUUCUUUACCAUGUUUCCUAGCAACAAAGUCUCUUAUCAUAACGUUGAUUCUUUGAUUGUGGGUUAUGAAGAUCAACAGCAGGUUCAAUUUCUACAUCAUUAUCAUUACUAGGUUGAGCAUCAUCAUGAACAUCAUCAUUAACAUUUUCAUUAGGUUCAUGUUCAUUACCAGAUUGUGUUUCAGCAUCAAAAAUAGAUAUAUCAUUUGGAUUCUCAGGUGGUUCAGCAAUAGGUUCACUAGAAGCAUGCAAAGUCCUAUCGUUUUUCUUUUUCUUCUUUUUAGAAGGACUAGGUGUAUCAAUAUUAUUUCUCUGAGAAUCUUGUUCAAUUCUCUUAGGGUGGCCUUCAGGAUACAAAGGUUCCCGAGUCAUCUUACCAGUUCUAGUAGCCACUCUAACAGCAUAAUCAGUAUUCUUACUAUUCAAUUCAUUGAGCAAAUCAUUUUGAGCCUUAAGUACUUGUUCUACUUGAGUGGUAACCAUAGAAGCAUGUUUAGUAAUGAGUUUAAGUUCACCUUUAACUCUAGACAUAUAAUCACCCAAGUGUUCAAGCGUAUCGGAAUUGUAUUUAAAUUGUCUACCAAAAUAAGCAUUGAAAUCUUCUUGCUUAACCAUAAAGUUAUCAAACUCAUCCAAGCAUUGGCUAGCAAUUUUAGUAGGAGGGAUUUCAGCUUUAUCAUAUCUAUAGAGAGAAUUUACCUUUACUACCUGUGUCGGGUUAUCAAGACCAUGAGUUUCUUCAAUAGGUGGAGGAUUAAGAUCAUAUGUUUCUUCAACAGGCGGUAAAUUAAGACCAUGUAUUUCUUUAGUAGGAGGUAAAUUCUUAACAUCUUCAGCUUUAAUACCUUUUUCUUUCAUAGAUUUCUUUGCCUCUUGCAUAUCUUCAGGGCUGAGAAAUAGAACGCCUCUCUUCUUCGGAGUUGGUUUGGGAAUAGGUUCAGGAAGUGUCCAAUUAUUUUCAUUUGUCAACAUAUUAUUCAAUAGAAUUUCAGCUUCAUCCGGUGUUCUUUCCCUAAAAACAGAACCAGCACAACUAUCCAGGUAAUCUCUGGAAGCAUCGGUUAGUCCAUUAUAAAAGAUAUCAAGUAUUUCAUUUUUCUUGAGAGGAUGACCAGGCAAAGCAUUAAGUAAUCGGAGAAGCCUCCCCCAAGCUUGUGGGAGACUCUCUUCUUCAAUUUGCACAAAAUUAUAUAUUUGCCUUAAAGCAGCUUGUUUCUUAUGAGCAGGGAACUAUUUAGCAGAGAAGUAAUAAUCAUAUCCUGGGGACUACGCACACAACCAGGAUCAAGAGAAUCAAACCAUAUCUUAGCAUCACCCUUUAAUGAGAAUGGAAAUAUUUUAAGGAUAUAAAGGUAGCAAGAUUUCUCAUCAUUAGUGAACAGGGUGGCUAUAUCAUUUGAUUUAGUAAGAUGUGCCACAACUGUUUCAGAUUCAUAGCCAUGAAAAGGAUCAGAUUCAACCAAAGUAAUUAUAUCAGGAUCAACAGAGAAUUCAUAAUCCUUAUCAGUAACACAUAUAGGUGAAGUAGCAAAAGCAGGAUCAGGUUUCAUUCUAGCAUUAAGAGAUUGCUGCUUCCAUUUAGCCAAUAAUUUCUUAACAUCAUGUCUAUCUUUGCAAGCAAAAAUUUCGUUAGCAACUGCUUCAUCCAUAACAUAGCCCUCAGGCACAAUAGGCAAUUCAUAUUUAUUAGGGGAAGAGUCUUCAUCAUCACUUUCAUCAAUAUUAUCAAUAAUUUCAUUCUCUCUAGCCCUAGCAAGUUGUUCAUCAAGAAAUUCACCAAGUGGCACAGUAGUAUCAAGCAUAGAAGUAGUUUCAUCAUAAGUAUCAUGCAUAGCAGAAGUGGCAUCAUCAAUAACAUGCGACAUAUCAGAACGAAUAGCAGAAGCAGGUUUAGGUGUCGCAAGCUUACUCAAAACAGAAGGUGAAUCAAGUGUAGAGCUAGAUGGCAGUUCCUUACCUCCCCUCGUAGUUGAGGGAUAAAUUGUUGUCUUAGCGUCUUUCAAGUUCUUCAUAGUGACCAGCAGGUAUAAAUCCCAAGUGACUCAAAGAAUAGAGCUAUGCUCCCCGGCAACGGCGCCAGAAAAUAGUCUUGAUAACCCACAAGUAUAGGGGAUCGCAACAGUUUUCGAGGGUAGAGUAUUCAACCCAAAUUUAUUGAUUUGACACAAGGGGAGCCAAAGAAUAUUCUCAAGUAUUAGCAGUUGAGUUGUCAAUUCAACCACACCUGGAUAACUUAAAAUCUACAACAAAGUAAUAUGGAAGUAACGGUAACGAUAGCAAAAGUAAUAUUUUUGGGUUUUGUAGUGAUUGUAACAGUAGCAACGGAAAAGUAAAUAAGCGAAGAACAAUAUGUGAAAAGCUCGUAGGCAUUGGAUCGGUGAUGGAGAAUUAUGUCGGAUGCGGUUCAUCAUGUAACAGUCAUAACAUAGGUUGACACAGAACUAGCUCCAAUUCAUCAAUGUAAUGUAGGCAUGUAUUCCGAAUAUAGUCAUAGAUGCUUAUGGAAAAGAACUUGCAUGACAUCUUUUGUCCUACCCUCCCGUGGUAGCGGGGUCCUAAUGGAAACUAAGGGAUAUUAAGGCCUCCUUUUAAUAGAGUACCGGAACAAAGCAUUAGCACAUAGUGAAUACAUGAACUCCUCAAACUAUGGUCAUCACCGGGAGUGGUCCCGAUUAUUGUCACUUCGGGGUUGCCGGAUCAUAACACAUAGUAGGUGACUAUAGACUUGCAAGAUAGGAUCAAGAACUCACAUAUAUUCAUGAAAACAUAAUAGGUUCAGAUCUGAAAUCAUGGCACUCGGGCCCUAGUGACAAGCAUUAAGCGUAGCAAAGUCAUAGCAACAUCAAUCUCAGAACAUAGUGGAUACUAGGGAUCAAACCCUAACAAAACUAACUCGAUUACAUGAUAGAUCUCAUCCAACCCAUCACCGUCCAACAAGCCUACGAUGGAAUUACUCACGCACGGCGAUGAGCAUCAUGAAAUUGGUGAUGGAGGAUGGUUGAUGAUGACGAUGGCGAGGAAUCCCCCUCUCCGGAGCCCCGAACGGACUCCAUAUCAGCCCACCCGAGAGGUUUUAGGGCUUGGCGGCGGCUCCGUACCGUAAAACACGAUGAAUCCUUCUCCCUGAUUUUUUUCUCCCCGAAAGUGAAUAUAUGGAGUUGGAGUUGAGGUCGGUGGAGCGUCAGGGGGCCCACGAGGCAGGGGGGGCGCGCCCUAGGGGGGCAGGCGCGCCCUCCACCCUCGUGGACAGGGUGUGGGCACCCUAACGUGGAUUUUUCUUCUCGUAUGUUUCUUAUUUUCCAAAUAGAUGUUCCGUGGAAUUUCAGGUCAUUCCGAGAACUUUUAUUUCUGCACAUAAAUAACACCAUGGAAAGUCUGCUGAAAACAACGUCAGUCCGGGUUAGUUCCAUUCAAAUCAUGCAAGUUAAAGUCCAAAACAAGGGCAAAAGUGUUUGGAAAAGUAGAUACGACGGAGACGUAUCAACAUGCAACUAUAGGAUUGUCAUCAAAUAAUUUGGAAUUAUCCAGGGUUCGUUUGGACAUUGUUAUACAUUAACUGAGUUUUCUAGGCAUUUAAGGUGCAUGAUUCAAAAUUAAACUACAUACACAUGCUCCAAUGCACCAAAAUGGGUUGUAAAAUCAUAUAUGUGUCCAUGGGUGGAUGCUUAGGUCCUAUGCUAGAAAUGGGAAUGAAUUUCAAACGCACCGACACCGUGGCUUGCCGGCAAACAUUGAGAUGCUUGGUUUUGAAAUUCUAGUAAAUCCAAAACUGGCCUAAAAUUCAUGAAACUUGGCAUGCUAUCAUGGAAUGGCACCAACAUGUUGUGGUAAAAUUUUUGUCCCAUUUGGGGGCAGGUUUUGGUAUAAGCUUCUCAAAAACUAGAGCAGCUCACAAGAAGCCUCAUGGUUCCGGUAGGGAACUUGCUACCUUUGUGGAUGAAACAAUAUUCGUUGCCUCUUCUUGCUUUCAAUUUUUUUCUAGUGGCGACAUAGACCAACAUGAGUGUCGUGUUAAAAUCUGGAAUUUUUGGGGGUUCGUUUGGACAUUUUUAUACAUUAACUGAGUUUUCUAGGCAUUUUAUGUGCAUAAUUCAAAUUUGAACUAGAGGCACAUGCUCCAGUGCAGAAAAUGGGUUAAAAAAAAUCAAAUGUGUGUCCAUGGGUGCAUGCUUAGGUCCCAUGCAAGAAACGGGAAUGAAUUUCAAACACCUCGGCACCAUCGCUCAGCCGCAAACAUUGAGAUACUUGGUUUUUAAAUUCUAGUAAAUCCAUAACUCGUCUGAAAUUCAUGAAACUUGGCAUGCUAUCAUAGAAUGGCACCAACAUGACGUGGUAAAAAAAUUGUCCCAUUUGGGGCAGGUUUUGGUAUAAGCUUCUCAUGAAUCAGAGCUUCUCACAAGAAGCCUCAUGGUUCCGGUAGGGAAAGUGACACCUUUGUCGAUGAAACGAUAUUCGUGGCCUCUUCUUGCUUUCAAUUUUUUCCAGUGGCAACAUAGACCAACAGGAGUGUCAUGUUAAAAUUUGAAAUUUUAUGGGGUUCGUUUGGACAUUUUUAUACACUAACCGAGUUUUCUAGGCAUUUUAUAUGCAUAAUUCAAAUUUGAACUACAGGCACAUGCUCCAGUGUAGAAAAAUGGGUUGAAAAAUUAAAUGUGUAUCCUUGGGUGCAUGCUUAGGUCCCGUGCAAGAAAUGGGAAAGAAUUUCAAACACCUCGGCGCCGUCGCUCAGCCGCAAACACUGAGAUACUUGGUUUUUAAAUUAUAGUAAAUCCAAAACUCGUCUAAAAUUCAUGAAACUUGGCAUGCUAUCAUGGAAUGGCACCAACAUGUUGUGGUAAAUUUUUUAUCCCAUUUGGGGCAGGUUUUGGUAUGCGCUCCUCACAAGCCAGAGCUUCUCAAAAGAAGCCUCGUGGUUCCAGUAGGGAACGUGUGUCACCUUUCUGGACGAAACGAUAUUCGUUGCCUCUUCUAGCCUUGAGUUUUUUUUCUAGAUACAACAUAGACCAGCAGGAGUGUCGUGUUAAAAUUUGGAAUUAUACGGGGUUCGUUUGGACAUUUUUUAUACAUUAACUAAGUGUCUACACAUUUUGUGUGCAUAAUUAAAUUUGAACUACAUGCACAUGCUCCAGUGCAGCAAAAUGGGUUAAAAAAUCAUAUGCGUGUCCUUGGGUGCAUGCUUAGGUCCCAUGCAAGAAAUGAGAAUGAACUUCAAACACCUCACAUCGUGGCUCAGCUGCAAACAUUGAGAUACUUGGUUUUAAAAUUCUAGUAAAUCCAAAAUUUGUCUGAAAUUCCUGAAACUUGGCAUGCUAUCAUGGAAUGGCACCAAUAAGUUGUGGUAUUUUGCGUGUCCAAUUUGAGAGAAGGCGCAGAAAUAAACAGCCAACAAUGGCAUUUUGAAACAAAUAGUUGCCACGUUAUCAUCUCAAAUGUUUGUAUAAUUUAAAUCGUGGGCGUUCUGCUAAUCAUUCACGUGAUGCCAUGCGUCACACUUUUACUGCCUAGGAGGUGUCGUGUGGACAGCUGCUUGAGUAGACGUGCGCAGGCUGACCGGGAGGUGUGCAAGCAGUCCUCCGUUGUGCAAGCUCACCGAGAAGCGUGCGAGCCGAACGCUGCACAUGCCUACUAGGAAGCGAGCCCUUUGACUUCCAUGGCCGCCCACCUCACUCCCAACCUCUCCAUUAAUGGUGCCCGAGCCGCUGUUUAAUAUGGGCGGCCUUACUCUUCGCCUCCCAUUCCCCUCUCGAAGACCUCCACCAAUGUCAUGGCGCAGAAGGAUCAUCUGCCACUAGUUUUCCGGUUUGGUGAAGUCGACUCCGAGCUUGAGGAGAUAGAAACUAAGGAGGAAUGGGGUCUCAUGGACAUGGCCCUGAACGAGUUGGCCGCGGCGGAUGCUGCCCCCAAGCCCUUCCCAGCUCCCAUCCCCGUGCUUGCGCCAACGACCAUCCCCGUAGCAUUGACGGGCUGGUCGCUGAGCACUAUCGCAGAGCUGGAAGCCGCAGGCGUCAGCGAGGUCCCUACGCCAGUGCCAGUGCGCGCCCCUGCACCCACCGCGGCUCCGGUCCCCGUGCGUUUGCCUGCACCUGCCACGCCCGUGCCCGUGCGCGCGCCCCCUCGGUGCAUGGACACCGCCUUUGACCGCUACCUCGCAGCGCCAUGAGACACCGUCCUCCCGUGCCUUGUCCGUCGAUCAUGCGAGAACAAGGUCUUUGAUUUCCAAGUCAAGAACAUUCUGGGCUAGCUUGAAGACUUGAACAAUGGCAUCCCGAAGGACGAUAACGCUGGUGCAGCAUGCCGCCUACGCCGCUACUGCAAUUAGUUUUUUUGGGUUUAAUAUUGUAUCUCGAUCGUAUGCAUGUGAAGUCAUAGUGUGACUGAACAAAACCUAUGGUUUUAGCAAACUUGCAUUUUUAUCUUUGAAUGUACAGACUUAUCAAAUGAUUUUUUAAAACAUCAAUAUUUUUGAAAUUUAAAACACUCAUCGCAAACGUUUUAGAUAGAACACCCAUAUGCAAACCGAGAGCUUCCCCAGUAAGCCAAGGAAAAAUGUGUUGCGCAUGAUUUGUGCAUCUCUUCAUCACAAUGUUUUAGAUAGAACACCCAUAUGCAAAGCGAGAUCUAUGGUCCUUCCCUAGUAAGCCAAGGGAAAAUUUGCCGUGCAGGAUUUGUGCAUCUCUUCAUCGCAAAUAGUUUAGAUUGAACAUUGUAUGCAAAGCGAGAGCUACAGUUCUUUCGCCACUAAGCCAAGAGAAAACCUAAUGCGCGGGAUUUUUACAUCCCUUCAUUACAAACGAUUAUUUAUGAUGACUCGUGUGGAACCACGUACAUACAAUUUGGUAAGAUUUGCAUCUAUCAUAUUGUGUAUAUUGUCAUUUGUCAAACUGGAAACAUUGGCAUUUGUCGAUCUAGUAACAUUGCCAUUUGUCAACCUUGUAACACUGCCAUUUUCAAAAUUUGCAGCCAAAAAUCACUAGCACUGUCUAAUUUUGCAACUUAAAUUUAGUAAGCAUAGAUUUCAUUCAUAGAUUAAUUAAGCAGUCGCUUUUUAUACAAACAGUUCAACUUGACAGCUGAAUCGAACAAACUUUUCCCCAAUUAUUGCCAACCACGUACUGAAAUAGCUAGUUCAACUAUAUAUACUAGCUAAUUUUAAGUAUGUACAAUUCAACCAUAUCUAUAGUCAGAUGAACUGAACAAAAGAGCUCCUAAAUACUACUACUACGGAGGGGCUUUGUACUACUUCCAGCAGCCUCUCCUCUGCCGAGCGCGCUCACUAAGAGGCAGAGGAGGAGGAGCCUACCGACGAGCUGGAGAACUGGAAUGAGGUGCCUGCCGCUGCUGCACCUUUAGCGACGCUCACCUCGAAAGCCCUCUGCCGCUCCAGAUGACCCCUCUCGAAGCCGUGGGACUCCUCGUAGAUCUCCUCAUUCCGCGCCUCUGCGACAGCAUGUGCUGCGGCCAAGGCAUCGGUAAGACUCUUUGCGUGAUCGACCAGGCGCUCCUCCUCCUCCCGCAGGAACUCGAUGUAACAUGCAAGGUCACUGACGCACAUGCGGGGCUCCACGUCCCGCCUUCGGGCGGUGGUGGUGGAGCGGGUGAUGACCCCGGCGGUCGAUGGUGGGGUGGCGACCACAAUGGUUGAUGGUGGGGUGGCAGCCACGACGACCACCUCGCACCUUCGGGCCGCGAUGGUGGAGCGGGUGAUGGCCACGAUGGCCAACAGUGGGGUGUCGGCCACGAUGGCGACCUCCCGCCUUCGGGCCGUGGUGGCGGAGUGAGCGAUAGCCCUGGCUUUUGAUGGUGGUGUGGCGGCCACGACGGCAGACAGUGGGGUGGCGGCAACGGCGACCGGCAACAGCUGCCGACAGGCAGCGGCGAUGGUGCGUGGGUGUUGUGUGCACACCCAACAGGGAUGCCAUACAUAGUACAUAACACCGGGGGCUGCGCCGCCACCGUGGUGUAGCCUUCCAGCUGGAGCUGUCCUCUGAUAACGGCGGAGUGGCUGAGCGACGACGACGAACUGGUGCCAUUGGUGAUUGUGGGAGAAGUAGACGAGAUAAGCUAUGGGGAGGGAGGGGAAAAUGCGGCGAAAGACUCGCCGACCAUGAGGGUUUAUAUAGCAGGCCAGUGAGCAUUGGGGUUUUGGGGAUUUCACUGAGUCGGGCGGGAAGCUUGCACGGCUGUGCGUGAGAACCUGCGCGGUUGCGCGGGAACAGGCUCAUCGACGAUUCAUUGGCGCCACUUUGAGCCACUGUUUGGCCAAAAGAACGCAUGUGCGGUGCUCAAGCUUGCGCUCGAAGCCUUCCGCAACAGUGGGGUGACAAGACGUGCAAGAGGAGGAUGAAAUGACACGUACACAUACGAUUAACAAAAAAAGAAUGUUUGCGAUUUAAUUACCUACUACCUUCGUCUUGGUUUAUAAGUCCUCUUUGUAUUUUGUGCCAAAUAUUUGAUCAGAGAUUUAACUAAUAAAAUAUGAAUGCAUGUCACAAAAAAUUAUAUCGUUGAUUCGUAUUUGAACAUAGUUUCCAAUUACAUUAUUUUUUAUAACAUGCAUUAACAUUUUGUUAGUUAAAUUUAAGGUCAAAAUUGGGCACAAAAUAUAACUAAUAAACCAGGAAGGAGGUAGUAGCACAUGGCCACUCUCCACGCAGCGUCGUGAAUGAUUGUUCAAUAACCGUGUGAUGUGGAAUGCGACGCAGUUUCACAUCAUGCCGCCGGCUCGCAACUGCCAGCUGGCUUGUAGACGACCAUUCCUUGCGUGUCCAACUACUUUAUGCGUGUGUUUGCUCGCGAUUGAGGCGGCCGCAACGCGCUCUGCUCACGUCCCGCCGCGCAUGCUCUGCUCUUGCGUCUCUCCACGCGCUCUACCAGCGUCCCUCCAUGCGUGCUGCCAGAGUUCGGGGCCAGCGCACGAUCCUGUAUGUUCAUGCUGCCAUCAUGCAUGCAGUUGCGCUGGGUGCAGCGCCACGCUGCAGUUACCCGCUGCAAAAACUGUCAUGCGGACGUGCCGAGAAUCCAGGCCUCCCGACCCCCAUUUAUUCCCGCGGCCAUUUACCUUAAUAUCUCGCACCCCACAACACAAUAAGCACACCCAUGACGACACAUACAGAGGAUAUCCAGCGGUUCCAAUGGCACUCCCCGUGGCUCCAAAGGCACUCCCAGCGGCUGAUGACGACAACGAGCGGUAGUUCACCAUGCCUCACAUAGUGGACACCCACGUGAGAGGGAAGGACCUCUCGGUGGUGUACACGAACGAGUCGGUCUCGAUGGAGAGGUCCAUCCACACUAUGGAGCAGUUGCUUUCUGAGGACAAUUAGUACCAAGUGGUCAGCUUCGACCGCGAGUUCACCAGCGGUCAUGCCGGGUAUGAUCAGCAGGUUGUCAUCGCCCAGUUGUGCAUGUGCCAUGAUAUCCUCGUCUACCACUACCACCUGGCCACAAGGCCUUCAAGCAUUUCUCCAGGUUUAUGAAUAGCCUCGACUACAGUUUCACUACAGUGGACACCAACAACAAUCUAAAAGCGCUCAAGGUUUCGGGUUUAGCCUGCCAGAAUCUUGUCGACAUCCAUGACCACUACACAGUCUGGGGCAGCACAAAGAACAAUCAUGACUCCUUAUUUGACCUCACCUCGGCCAUCAUUGACCCCUACUACAUGAAUAUGAAGGAUGAGAGCAAGAAGGACAAGAUCGCCUAGCACAGUGUCUGGGAGCAGAGACUGGAUGAAGAACACGUCAAGUACGCGACCAAGGACAUGUACACAUGCUACGAGAUGCACAGGCGGAUUGUUGACAUGAGGAAGUGCCUUCGUCCUGCCCCAGACGAGGGAUCGCCGAGCCACAGAGCUGUGCUGGCAGCGUCACAAGAAGUAGAUGAUUAGAUGAUCAUUUCUCCUAGUUUAGAAUGCAUGUAAUUGUUUACUGAGGUGUGUGCGAAUGUUUUGUAUAGUCACUUAUGUAAUUGGAUCUUUAUUUUGGUUAUAUAUGUUGUUCUUCUGUAGACAGAGCAAAUCACAUCGCACAUGGAGUAAAAUAGGGAACCCGUCGGUGAUGAUUUCAUCAGUCGCUGACAAUUGUGUAUACCCACAAGGAUUUGCCCACAACACACACGGCUUAUAGCAGCAAUUGUCUUUGUUAUUAUCGGUUUUGGCACACAUUUCUGAUUACAGACCUGUUUGCUGCGUAUCACACACAUCUUGUUAAGUAGAACCGUUUCUGUUGUCUUGGCUCAUCGCAAACAAUUCAUCUGAGUGAACUGUAUGCCAUAUAUCGCACACACACCUUGAUCCGACUGACUGUUUCUGUUGUGUUUCCUAAUCACAAACAGUUCAUCUAAGUGAACUGUAUGCUGUAUAUCGUACACACCCUUAUCUAGUUGACUGUUUCUGUUGUUAUGCUCAUUGCAAACAAUUCAUAUGGACCAACCGUAAGCCACGUAUCGCACACGCAACUCUAAUCUGAAUCGUGUUUGAUGUCUCCGCCAUCGCAAAUAAUUCGUAUCAUUUUUGACGGUCUUCUUACACCGUCGUUUGCGAUUAAUGCAUUGUAGAUAGUUCAAUCGAAGGGUCUGUGAUUAUACUGUUGUGUUAGGACCAUCCUGCAGUAGUGUCUGUUUUCCUUUUGAAUAUCCAUUUACAUUGUAUGGGCUUUACACGCUAUGGAGGAUCAACCAAGUUCCAAACUUGAUUCUUGUACAUGGACUCCAUUUCGGGUAGCAUGGCUUUGAGCCAUUAUUUUGAGCCGAGCGCCGCCAUCGCUUCCUUGUAGUGCGCAUGCUCAUCUUUCUCUAAGAUGAAUAUUUCAUUAUGAAACCAUUCAGGAGGUUCGAUAACUCUUCCUGACCUACACGGUUCAGUUACAGUCUUAACUGGAGUUUCUACAGUUGGUGUAGUAACUUCUAGUUCAUUUGUGUAGACAACUUCUGGAACAGAUUCCAUUUCGUUAGUCCUAUUUUCUGGAGAUUCAGCAACCUCGUCAAGCUGUAUUGUCCUCCCACUUACUUCUUUAGCAAGAAAAUCUUUCUCGAGAAGGUGUGCAUUCUUAGCGACAAAAACUUUGUCUUCGGACUUUUGGUAGAAGGAAUACCCAAUUGUUUCUUUGGGAUAACCUACAAAGUAACACUUGUCUACCUUGGGAUCGAGCUUAUUUGGCUGUAAAUGUUUUACAAAAGUCCCGCAACACCAAAUCUUGAGAUGCGAUUAACUGGUUUCUUCCCAUUCCAUAACUCAUAUGGUGUCGUCUCUACAGACUUGGACGAUGCUCUGUUUAGUGUAUAUGUUGUUGUUUCAAGUGCUAAUCCCCAAAAUGAUAAAGGUAGAUCAGUAAAUGACAUCAUUGACCUCACCAUGUCCAACAAAGUUUGGUUAUGCCUUUCAGACACUCCGUUUCUUUGUGGAGUUCCUGGAGGAGUAAGUUGUGAGACAAUUCCACAAUCACUUAGAUUUUUGCUAAACUCAUGACUCAGAUAUUCACCUCCACGAUCUGAUUGUAGAAACUUUAUCUUUUUGCCAUGAUGAUUCUCAAAUUCGUCUGAAAUUAUUUGAACUUUUCAAAUGUUUCAGACUUAUGUUCAUCAAGUAAAUAUAUCCAUAUCUACUUAAAUCAUCAAAGAAAGUUACAAAGUAUAAAUAUCCACCGCGCGCUGGAAUACUCAUUGGACCACAUACAUCAAUAUGUAUUAUAUCCAAUAAUUCAAGUGCUGUUUUGGAUGACUAGUGAACGUCGUUUUAGUCAUUUUACCCAUCAGACAAGCUUCGCACAUAUCAAAUGAUUCAAAAUCAAAAGAGGUUAACACUCCAUCUUUAUGAAAUUUCUGCAUGCAUUUCUUUCCAAUAUGACCAAGACGGCGAUGCUACAUGUAAGUGGUAUUAUCAGUCUUCUUAAGACAUUUAGCAUUAAUAUUAUAAACAACCUUUUCUCGUUCAAGAUCUAAUAUGAAUAAUCCACCAAUCAUGGGUGUAAAUCCAUAAAACAUAUCCUUAUAAUAUAUUGAACAACCAUUGUUCUCAGAUUUACAAGAAUAAUCAUCAUUUAUCCAACAUGAUCCAGAGAUUAUAUUUUUACUUAACUUCGGAACAAAAUAACAAUUACUUAGUUCUAAAUCCAAUCCCGAAGGUAAAUUCAAAGACAUGACACCGAUGGCUUGAGCAGCGAUCCCAUCACAAUUCUCGACACACAUCACAACUUCAUUUCUACUUAGCUUCCAAAUAUUCCGCAGUCCCUGCAACGUGUUGCAAAUGUUAGCAAUAGAACUGAUAUCAGAUACCCAUGACUUGGAAUUUUCGGUGAGUAGAAUAUCAAUAACAUUAGCUUGUAUAACUUCUAUACCUUUACCAGAAGACUUGUUCUACUUAUCUGCUAGAUACUUCAAGCAAUUUCUUUUCCAGUGUCCAUUCUCUUUGCAGUAAAAACAUAUAGUCUUGCAAGAAGCUUCACCCAUGUUUCUCUUGGUACUGCAUUUUCUUUAUAAACUUUCUGUCUUGUUUAUCAACUGCUUUUGUUGAUUCUGCAAUCCAAUCUCAUGAUUCUUGAGCAUUGCUUCAUACUUAAAGCAAAGAGAACAUCAAAUCAUUCUUUGGUGUUUUGGGGAUAUUAACUCCCAUUGCAGUCACACUAUCAUAAUAGUCUACGAAUAUGUCACCUUGAUCAACUAUUGAUAUGACCGCGUGUAAUUUAACUACGAUGGUCGAUACUGUUAUGGUCACGUCAAAUAAGGAAAAGCUAGUUGCCAUGACUUGUAUCCACGCGGACCAGCUAAAGAGCUUGUGUUUGUUUCGGACUAAUGAAAUAUAUGAAGACAUGUUUGGGGCCAAGACAUACACGUACUUGUAUUUUGGAUGCUUUGGUGUGCAUGGAGGCGUGAAGGAUAAUGGUGGCUCGUACAAUAAAAGGAGAUCAAUUCCAUUUAAAAAAUACACGCUAGGGGUCAAGCUGCGUUGGUUGUUUUUGUUCCUGCCGUGCAAGGGAUAUCAUGCAGCAGACCGGACGUAUAAUAUGUGGAGUCAGCUAUGCUUGAAGGAAAUCGGAUGGAGUCCCCCAACACAAAAACAGAAGCCGGCGACGCAUGCAACAAAUUUAGUAGUUUUUAUUUUCUUAAAUAGACUAGCAUAUACUUACGUGUUAUCUUUUCUUUUAAGUACGUACCAAGGCUUGCUUUCCAAGAUAGUUAGGGUGUGCGGCUAUUAUAUAAAGCCAAUUAGUUUUAUGUAAAAUUAGGUUAUCUUUUUAUGAAUAGACAUGAUGUGUUUAUAGGGUAAAUACACAUAUCGAGUUUUGGGGGAAGCUGUCUAAAAAUCCCUAAGUUUUGAAGGAAGCUUUAGAAAACCUCUGUGUUGCGAUUUCUCUGUGAGGAAAUUGUUUUGCGCGUGAGUACCGUCGUCGAGAUUGGUUUUCUCGUGCUGAGCCACAAGGUUCAAACCCUCUAUUUCGUGUACAUCGCGUGCGCAGGCGAGAGGUUGCUGCUAUUGGUGGUGGAGUGUCGUGAAAGGUCGGGCCGCAACAACGGAUCGAAUCUCGCCACGAGGUUCGGUCUACAUCAGGUGGUAUCAGAGCAAGGUUGUUCACGACACUGUGCAGAAGAUGACUGGUUUAUCAUGAAAGCUAAGCAAUGGAUUUCAAUUGGAGGAGGAAGGACGAUGGGAUGGACUUUUUCAUACUCGUGUUGUGGUACAAGAGAGAUCAUGUGCUAUGACAAUUGACCACAUGAGUUUGAUCAACGCGGCAAGCAUCGAGAUGGUGGAGAAGUUGGAACUACCAAUGACACCACGCCCACAACCAUACUCGUUCCGUUGGGGCCAUGAAGAGCUCAGUGUCACAUAUCAAACCAAGGUACCGUUUUCGUUGGGAAAAUAGUUUUGCACGGUUUUGUGUGACGUGAUUCCGGCUCCGAUGGUUUCAUGUCACUUAUUGUUGGGCGAGCCAUGGUACAAAGAGCACGAUGGUGCGUAUGAUUGUCAAACACACACAUAUACCGUCAAGAAGGGUAAGAAGUACGACCUAGUGCCCAUGGGUCAGGAGCGUUUUAAUUCUUGGAGGAAAGAACAUCUCGAGAAGAUGAAAGAGCAGAAAGAACAAGAAAGGAAGAAGGUCGAAGGUGCUACAAAUUUGACGGUCAUCGUUCCGUCUACAAAUAACAGUAUUGUUGAAGAGAUCAACUCGAAACCGAGGACGGUUUUGUUUCAAGGAGGAGAGGAUGAUAUGACCGCGUGUAAUUUAACUACGAUGGUCGAUACUGUUAUGGUCACGUCAAAUAAGGAAAAGCUAGUUGCCAUGACUUGUAUCCACGCGGACCAGCUAAAGAGCUUGUGUUUGUUUCGGACUAAUGAAAUAUAUGAAGACAUGUUUGGGGCCAAGACAUACACGUACUUGGAUUUUGGAUGCUUUGGUGUGCAUGCAGGCGUGAAGGAUAAUGGUGGCUCGUACAAUAAAAGGAGAUCAAUUCCAUUUAAAAAAUACAUGCUAGGGGUCAAGCUGCAUUGGUUGUUUUUGUUCCUGCCGUGCAAGGGAUAUCAUGCAGCAGACCGGACGUAUAAUAUGUGGAGUCAGCUAUGCUUGAAGGAAAUCGGAUGGAGUCCCCCAACACAAAAACAGAAGCCGGUGACGCAUGCAACAAAUUUAGUAGUUUUUAUUUUCUUAAAUAGACUAGCAUAUACUUACGUGUUAUCUUUUCUUUUAAGUACGUACCAAGGCUUGCUUUCCAAGAUAGCUAGGGUGUCUGGCUAUUAUAUAAAGCCAAUUAGUUUUAUGUAAAAUUAGGUUAUCUUUUUAUGAAUAGACAUGAUGUGUUUAUAGGGUAAAUACCCGUAUCGAGUUUUGGGGGAAGCUGUCUAAAAAUCCCUAAGUUUUGAAGGAAGCUUUAGAAAACCUCUGUGUUGCGAUUUCUCUGUGAGGAAAUUGUUUUGCGCGUGAGUACUGUCGUCGAGAUUGGUUUUCUCGUGCUGAGCCACAAGGUUCAAACCCUCUAUUUCGUGUACAUCGCGUGCGCAGGCGAAAGGUUGCUGCUAUUGGUGGUGGAGUGUCGUGAAAGGUCGGGCCGCAACAACGGAUCGAAUCUCGCCACGAGGUUCGGUCUACAUCAGGUGGUAUCAGAGCAAGGUUGUUCAAGACACUGUGCAGAAGAUGCUGGUUUAUCAUGAAAGCUAAGUAAUGGAUUUCAAUUGGAGGAGGAAGGACAAUGGGAUGGACUUUUUCAUACUCGUGUUGUGGUACAAGAGAGAUCAUUUGCUAUGACAAUUGACCACAUGAGUUUGAUCAACGCGGCAAGCAUCGAGAUGGUGGAGAAGUUGGAACUACCAAUGACACCACGCCCACAACCAUACUCGUUCCGUUGGGGCCAUGAAGAGCUCAGUGUCACAUAUCAAACCAAGGUACCGUUUUCGUUGGGAAAAUAGUUUUGCACGGUUUUGUGUGACGUGAUUCCGGCUCCGAUGGUUUCAUGUCACUUAUUGUUGGGCGAGCCAUGGUACAAAGAGCAUGAUGCUGCGUAUGAUUGUCAAACACACACAUAUACCGUCAAGAAGGGUAAGAAGUACGACCUAGUGGCCAUGGGUCAGGAGCGUUUUAAUUCUUGGAGGAAAGAACAUCUCGAGAAGAUGAAAGAGCAGAAAGAACAAGAAAGGAAGAAGGUCGAAGGUGCUACAAAUUUGACGGUCAUCGUUCCGUCUACAAAUAACAGUAUUGUUGAAGAGAUCAACUCAAAACCGAGGACGGUUUUGUUUCAAGGAGGAGAGGAUGAUAUGACCGCGUGUAAUUUAACUACGAUGGUCGAUACUGUUAUGGUCACGUCAAAUAAGGAAAAGCUAGUUGCCAUGACUUGUAUCCACGCGGACCAGCUAAAGAGCUUGUGUUUGUUUCGGACUAAUGAAAUAUAUGAAGACAUGUUUGGGGCCAAGACAUACACGUACUUGGAUUUUGGAUGCUUUGGUGUGCAUGCAGGCGUGAAGGAUAAUGGUGGCUCGUACAAUAAAAGGAGAUCAAUUCCAUUUAAAAAAUACAUGCUAGGGGUCAAGCUGCAUUGGUUGUUUUUGUUCCUGCCGUGCAAGGGAUAUCAUGCAGCAGACCGGACGUAUAAUAUGUGGAGUCAGCUAUGCUUGAAGGAAAUCGGAUGGAGUCCCCCAACACAAAAAUAGAAGCCGGUGACGCAUGCAACAAAUUUAGUAGUUUUUAUUUUCUUAAAUAGACUAGCAUAUACUUACGUGUUAUCUUUUCUUUUAAGUACGUACCAAGGCUUGCUUUCCAAGAUAGUUAGGGUGUGCGGCUAUUAUAUAAAGCCAAUUAGUUUUAUGUAAAAUUAGGUUAUCUUUUUAUGAAUAGACACGAUGUGUUUUUAGGGUAAAUACCCGUAUCGAGUUUUGGGGGAAGCUGUCUAAGAAUCCCUAAGUUUUGAAGGAAGCUUUAGAAAACCUCUGUGUUGCGAUUUCUCUGUGAGGAAAUUGUUUUGCGCGUGAGUACCAUCGUCGAGAUUGGUUUUCUCGUGCUGAGCCGCAAGGUUCAAACCCUCUAUUUCGUGUACAUCGCAUGCGCAGGCGAGAGGUUGCUGCUAUUGGUGGUGGAGUGUCGUGAAAGGUCGGGCCGCAACAACGGAUCGAAUCUCGCCACGAGGUUCUGUCUACAUCAGGUGGUAUCAGAGCAAGGUUGUUCAUGACACUGUGCAGAAGAUGACUGGUUUAUCAUGGAAGCUAAGCUAUGGAUUUCAAUUGGAGGAGGAAGGCUGAUGGGAUGGACUUUUUCAUACUCGUGUUGUGGUACAAGAGAGAUCAUGUGCUAUGACAAUUGACCACAUGAGUUUGAUCAACGCAGCAAGCAUCGAGAUGGUGGAGAAGUUGGAACUACCAAUGACACCACGCCCACAACCAUACUCGUUCCGUUGGGGCCAUGAAGAGCUCAGUCUCACACAUCAAACCAAGGUACCGUUUUCGUUGGGAAAAUAUUUUUGCACGGUUUUGUGUGAUGUGAUUCCGGCUCUGAUGGUUUCAUGUCACUUAUUGUUGGGCGAGCCAUGGUACAAAGAGCACGAUGUUGCAUAUGAUUGUCAAACACACACAUAUACCGUCAGGAAGGGUAAGAAGUACGACCUAGUGCCCAUGGGUCAGGAGCGUUUUAAUUCUUGGAGGAAAGAACAUCUCAAGAAGAUGAAAGAGCAGAAAGAACAAGAAAGGAAGAAGGUCGAAGGUGCUACAAAUUUGACGGUCAUCGUCCCGUCUACAAAUAACAGUAUUGUUGAAGAGAUCAACUCAAAACCGAGGACGGUUUUGUUUCAAGGAGGAGAAGAUGAUAUGACCGCGUGUAAUUUAACUACGAUGGUCGAUACUGUUAUGGUCACGUCAAAUAAGGAAAAGCUAGUUGCCAUGACUUGUAUCCACGCGGACCAGCUAAAGAGCUUGUGUUUGUUUCGGACUAAUGAAAUAUAUGAAGACAUGUUUGGGGCCAAGACAUACACGUACUUGGAUUUUGGAUGCUUUGGUGUGCAUGGAGGCAUGAAGGAUAAUGGUGGCUCGUACAAUAAAAGGAGAUCAAUUCCAUUUUAAAAAUACACGCUAGGGGUCAAGCUGCGUUGGUUGUUUUUGUUCCUGCCGUGCAAGGGAUAUCAUGCAGCAGACCGGACGUAUAAUAUGUGGAGUCAGCUAUGCUUGAAGGAAAUCGGAUGGAGUCCUCCAACACAAAAACAGAAGCCGGCGACGCAUGCAACAAAUUUAGUAGUUUUUAUUUUCUUAAAUAGACUAGCAUAUACUUACGUGUUAUCUUUUCUUUUAAGUACGUACCAAGGCUUGCUUUCCAAGAUAGUUAGGGUGUCCGGCUAUUAUAUAAAGCCAAUUAGUUUUAUGUAAAAUUAGGUUAUCUUUUUAUGAAUAGACAUGAUGUGUUUAUAGGGUAAAUACCCGUAUCGAGUUUUGGGGGAAGCUGUCUAAAAAUCCCUAAGUUUUGAAGGAAGCUUUAGAAAACCUCUGUGUUGCGAUUUCUCUGUGAGGAAAUUGUUUUGCGCGUGAGUACCAUCGUCGAGAUUGGUUUUCUCGUGCUGAGCCGCAAGGUUCAAACCCUCUAUUUCGUGUACAUCGCGUGCGCGGGCCAAAGGUUGCUGCUAUUGGUGGUGGAGUGUUGUGAAAGGCCGGGCCGCAACAACGGAUUGAAUCUCGCCACGAGGUUCGGUCUACAUCAACUAUCUUGCAUUCAUUCAUUGCUUUAGUCAUCUCAUGAACUUCAGUUGGGUCUUUGUGAACCAGAAAUUACAGUGCCUCGACAUCUCGAUGGGACUGAGUUUUUGAUAACAUUUCUGUAACACUUGAUCCAUGCAUGAUAGCAUAAUACUUUUGACAACACUGAAAUCAUUCUUGCGAGGUAUAAACACAUUGAUGACAUCUUGAGAUGCCCCAGGUGCCGGGUAGUCACCAAGUGGUUGAUCCAGCACACAUAUUCAUUCUUAGCACUCCUGAGAACAAAUCUUGGAGUGUGGAUCCAAUCCUCAUAGUUUCCAACAUUUGUAGUCAACUUUUCUUUCUCAAACAGGGGUGCUAAAUUUAAACCAUUGCAAGCCAUUGAUCUACAACAAUAAACACAAGAUUCAACUUGGACAUUUCAUAAUUAAGAUUGCACUAGUAUUUAAACAUUUUAAUAUAAAGUGCGCUCCCACUCAAAUCAAUAUCUCUCAUAAUUGAUAGUGAGUGACUCAAGAUCCAAAUCUAGUUCUCAGUCAUUGAUGUGGACGUCACUAAUGCCGAUAAUUUUGACCGGUGGGGAAGCAAUUGCUGAUCAUAUCACCAUAUGACUCUUGGUCAUCUUUCGAUGCUCCGUGCUCCAAGCUCAGAAUGAUUCUGCCAGAACUUCAAGACAACCGAGUGAUAUCUACUUAUAUGGCCUGACCAUAUCCGUCUUACACCUCUCACCAUGUUUGUACUCAUGUGUACAUGACAUACUCCAUGAUGCUAAAAUGUCGUAGACGAUUGUAACACUGGGAAGAGUACCUUUUAACUUGAUAUUUACUGCGAGAGAUCACCCUAAUAAUUGACUACUGCACAAUGAAAGGGUGCAAACAACAAAGGGGUAAACAACUCAGGAAAUUUAUAAAAGCAUGAUAUGGUAUAACCCUGGGCGCCGGGAAUCCACCAUGAUCAUAUUCAAUCUUCUGCUGAAGCGUCGUGACGACCAAUAUUUUGUUGUUGUGGCAACCAUUUCAAAAAUGUUGUCGUGGAUGCAAUUUCAGAAAACGUUGUCGUGGCGACCAUUUCAGAAAACGUUGUUGUAGCACCAAAUUCAUAAAUUCUGUCGUGGCGCGAAAUUAUAGCUCCUCGUCCUGCGCCUAGUACACCUUCUCCUCGUCGGGGUCCUCUGUGUCCAUUUGCCAUCAUGACCUGUAACCUGUAAGCUAUCUCUACAAUAUUUACAUUAACAUGUCAAUCUCGUGGCUCCAGCCAUCAUGUCGUGAUACGCAGGCCACUUAACAUUACAACAUAUAACCAUCUCAUACAUAAACUCAUUAUCAUGACGAAGGCUAUGCCACAUCAUAUGCAUACUCUGCAAAACCAAGUUAGACUCCCUCUAAUCUGUUUUAGCAAAAUUUUAGUUACGCGGUUAACAAAUUUUAGAAAAUAGUACUAGCUACCUAUGUCUGCAACAUAGGCAAUAAUUCUUGAUGCUAGAUUAAGUUUCGGGGUGUCUGAAACAAACUAAAUUAAAAUUCUCUAGCCCCACACUAAACUUCAUCAAAUAUGCGUGACCCCCUAGAAGAUCAUCCAUCUUCAUCACCCUCUUGUGUACGCGAUGGUGCACUAUUCUCAACUAUGAUGAAGCCGAAGGAGUUGUUAGCAAAUCAUCAUCGCCAGAGCCGAUAUAUUGUCAGAACCUUGUAAUAAAGCUACCUCAUAUGGUCGAUGAACUGAACUGAAGGAACACUCAAGGGAAGCAUAGCAAGAACAUAAACCCUCACAUCCAUAUGUGAUCUAGAUCACAACCUGCACUUACUCAUAUAACGGCUCUGAUACCACUGUUGGGAAACCUAGUAGAAAACAAAAAAACCACGCCUACGCACACCCUAGAUCAAUAUGAAGAUGCAUAAUGGGUUGGGAUCACGGUCGUUACCGUCACCGAGUUGAGGUGCAAAAAGAAUGUGUCAGUGUAGGUCGUACUUGGAAUCCCUCGAACUAUCGGUGGACAUUCCGCGAACCGCCCAUGAAUAGUCCCUCGAACUGAAGACAGAAAGCAUGGCCUCUCUACUUAGUUGCAAGCGUGCAACCUUCACGAUCCGGUAGUGCUUCGCCGUCCAGAGCUAAUCAUCACCGGAGAAUUAGAGGGAGGAGAUCAAAACCACACUGGGCUUCUAAUUAUGAGGAUUAUAGGAUUAGUCUAGCUCUAAUUACUUAACUAGGACUAACUAGAACUAGAACUAGAAGAACUAGAGGAGGCUCCAAGACUUGUGUGUAAAAGAGCACGAAACCUCAAGUAUAUAUAGGUGAGAGGGGAGAGGGAGGCUGCCACUAGUGCAACGGCCUAGGGAGGAGGAGUAUGACUCCUCCUACACCCCAAUUUGGCCUCCUUCCUUACGGAAGGGGUGCCUCCUCCACUUGGGCCUUUGUGGCCCAAGUUGCCUUCCACCUUUUGGCCUUUUAAGGCCCGUUGAUAUUAAAUUACAUAUAAAAAUAUUCCAAAUACUUUUAGACAAUUUUAUAUAUAAUUUAACAUUCUCGGAAACAUUUUCCACCUAUAUAUUAUUUAUCGUAAUACCCAGCAUUACCGGAUAUUCACCGAAACCCUUCCGGUGACCCCGAAACGCUUCCGAAUCCUCAUGGAACUAUUCCGAAUAUUAAUGAAAAAAAAAAUCCACAAAUAUAAUCUCAUCACUCUCGUCCUAUUAACACUCAAUAGAUCAUGACUUCCUUAAGCUUGUGACCUCGUAGGUUCAGUAACUCAUAGACAUGAACGAAACCCCUUCGUUCAAUGACCGAUAACGGAACCGUGGACGUCCAUAUCAAUCCCUAUGAGCACAGAAUGAUAUCCGAGUGAACCUUUGGUUAUCAUGUGAUGUUACCUUUAUUUCGUGAUACUUUACAAAACCUAGGAUGCAUCAGUAUCGUCCUUAGUCAGCACAUGCUCACUAUACCAAAAUCCUCGUUACCAGUUUUGUUCAUUUAUCUCGUUGUCGUGUUGCAGCAUCCCCGUGAUGUAGUCAUCUGUGUAGCGAGACGAUGAUGGAUGCAGUCACACUGAGAGGGCCCUAAGAAUAUCCCUCCAUCGUCGGAGGAGAAAACCCCACUCUUGAGCUAUCUAGUCACUUAUCAAACUUUCCCAUGAACCCGUAAAUUGUAGUUAUGAUCAGCGUGUUACAUGUGACGUUUGAGCAACCCAAAAGCUUACCGUAUGGUAAGAAGUGACUACGAUACUCUCAUGGUCUAAGGAGCAAAAUCACAAAUUAACACUCCGUGUUAUUAAAAUUGAUUAUAUAGACGAUAUUACUCAAUCCAUAUUAGACAAAUUUGGGCCGAUUCAAUAUGAUCGUUCUUCCAACGUCAUAAUCUCAAUGUUGUUUUAGGGCUAUCGUUUAACACUUAAACGAUAUCCUAAGAUUUGGAAAACGUGAUUGCCAACAACACUUGAGCUAGUCCUAGAGGCAAGACUAGGAAUCUUUUAGUUAACAUUUAUCAUUCCAACGUGCUUAUGAGUUUUCCACCGAAUCACGUAUUCUAGGAUCAUAGCAGUUAUAGCAUAGAAUAUAAACUCUUUAAUUAUGAAUAUGGAAAUAUAAUAAUACAAAUAUUAUUGCUUCUAGGCAAUAUUUCCAACAGAGAGACCAAGCACCAUUAGAGCACCUACAUCCAGCAUCCUCAAACGUCCGCAGAGAGGCCCGGUCAGUGACCGGACAGGAAAGAGAAGGAAAAAAUUAACCCAACCAGACUCCUCGUAUUGUUCCUAUAUGUCUGGAUUGUCCGGGAACCCUCAUAUUGAGGAAAAAUAUAGGGGGGGGGUAUAAGGGCUCACGGACACGCCCGGAUGCGCCAGUUCAGUCCGCCAUGUAGGACGUAGCCCAACCCUGACCACCUUUUCUCUUUCUCUUUCUUUAUUCAUUCUUUUAUUUUUGUCUCUUUAUCUCCACCAAUCACGUGUAAGUGAUCGGGCAUAUGAGGGAGAAAAUGAGGAGUGUGUCUGCAUGGACAAACAAAUAGGGGCUCAAAAUGGACACUCCUGGUCCCGUCUACAGGCGUGUAAGGGGCAGCUUUGUAAGUCCGGCUGUAGAUGCUCUUAGAGGUCAUACAUUCUUAUCUACGUGAGAUGAAUGGUGUGUUGACUAAAGGCAGAAAAAAUAUUUCAUGACGCUGAUUGAUGAUUCCACUAGGUUUUGCCAUGCUUAUUUAUUAGAUACUAAAUAUGAGGUUCUACUCUAUUUUAAAGUCUAUAAGGCAGAAGUUACAAAUACCUUGAAACAAAAGUUAAAUGAGUCUGGUUUGAUCGUGGUGGAGAGUACUUUUCUAAUGUGUUUAAUUCUUUCUAUGCGGAAUAUGGUAUUAUUCAUCAGAGUAUUCCGUUUACUAGACUCAAACGGGGUUGCCAAAUGGAAAAACCUUAUUCUAACAGAUUUGUUUAAUGCCAUGUUAGAUGCAUCGGGUUUGUCCAAGGCAUGGUUGGGGAUGCUAUAUUGACAUCAUGUCGUGACCCGAGUAAGGUUCUCAUGAAGGAUCAUGAGAUCACUCUGUAUGACCAAUGCGAGAAGAAAAGAACGACACUCUCUUAUUUAUGUAUUUGGGGUUGCCUUGCGAAAGUCAGUGUGUCGAUUACCAAAAAGUGUAAGCUUGAACAAAAUACUACGAACUACAUUUUUCUAGGCUAUUCUAAGCAUAACAUUGGCUAUAGAUUUCUAGUGGUGAAUCUGAAGUACCUGAUGUGAAGAUCAGUAUGAUUAUGGAGUCUAAGAUGCUAGAUUCUUUGAGGAUAUUGUUCAUAUGAGAGAUAUGCAAAGCACUUCUAGACAAGAAUAUGAUGUGACUCCUAAACCUACCAUUCCUAUGAAAUAUCAUGAACAAACACAUGAUGAAAAUCCUAUGAGAAAGACAAUGAAGCUCCUUAUAGGAGCAAGAGACAGAGGACUUCAAAGUAAUUUGGUGAUGAUUUCAUUGUGUACCUCGUGGAUGAUACUCUCAAUUCCAUUUUAGAAGGUUAUGCAUCUCUAGAUGCAUGCUGACAACUAGAAGGAUGCAGUCCAUACCGAGAUGGAUUUUAUUAUGGCUAAUGGUACAUAGGAAAUUAGUGAUAAUGCCUCUAGUUGCAAACCAGUAGGACGUAAGUGGGUGUUCAUAAAGAAGUUUAGGCUUGAUGGUACAGUUGAAAAGUACAAGGCUAGGCUUAUGGUGAAUGAUUAUACCUAUAAAGAAGGCAGAUAUUGGUUGUCUCGCAUGGUCUUCUCGUUCAUUAGAUGUACGUCAAGACGACUUUCCUAAAUGGAGGGCUAUACAGGAAAAUCUACAUGCAAUAACAUAUGCCUUUGUAGUAGAUGGUUAGGAGAAAAGGUGUGCAAAUUAUUGAGAUAUUUGUAUGGCCUAAAACAAACACCUAAAUAAUGCCAUGAGAAGUUUGAUAAAACUGUAACACCUGUUGGCUUUAUUGUUAAUGAAACUGACAAUUGUGUGUACUAUCUCCAUGGUGGGGACGAAGGAGUUAUACUGUGCUUGUAUGUUGACGACAUACUUAUAUUUGGAACCAACCUCGAAGUCUUUGAGGAGGUCAAAGUUUUUCUAUCUCAUAACUUUAAGAUGAAAGAUCUAGGUGUGGCUGAUAUUAUCUUGAACAUCAAGCUAUUGAGGUAUAAUGAGGGUGGGAUUACACUUCUACUAUCCCACUAUAUUAAGAAAGUUCUGAAUCGCUUUGGUUAUGCAGAAUGCAAAUUUUCUCCAACACCAUAUGAUUCUAGUGCACGGAUUCAAAAGUUUGAAGGUGUAGCUAAAGAUCAAUUGAGAUACUCUCAAGUUAUUGGUUCACUCAUGUACCUAGCUUGCGCUAUGAGGCUUGACACAACGUUUGCUGUGAGCAAACUGAGUUGGUUUGUUUCCAUUUCGGAAUAUUACAUGUCGUGACAGACAAGGAGGAGAUCAUGCUCUCCUCUAGGGAUGAGGAGGCGCAGCCGCCCCUUCUCGUAGAGGCCUAUUAAUAUUUGGAACCAACCUCGAAGUCCUUGAGGAGGUUAAGGUUUUUUAAUCUCAUAACUUUAAGAUGAAAGAUCUUGGUGUGGCUAAUUUUAUCUUGAACAUCAAGCUAUUGAGAGAUAAUGAGGGUGAGAUUACACUUCUUCUAUCCCACUAUAUUGAGAAGGUUAUGUGUUGCUUUGGCUAUGCAUAAUGCAAAUUUUCUCCAACACCAUAUGAUUCUAGUGCACGGAUUCAAAAGUUUAAAGGCAUAGAUAAAGAUCAGUUGAGAUACUUGAUACGUCUCCGUCGUAUCUACUUUUCCAAACACUUUUGCUCUUGCUUUGGACUCUAAUUUGCAUGAUUUGAAUGAAACUAACCCGGACUGACGUUGUUUUCAACAGAACUACCAUUGUAUUGUUUUUUGUGCAGAAAUAAAAGUUCUCGGAAUUGAAUGACACUUUUUGGAGAUUUUUUAUGCAAUAUAUAAAAAAUACUGGAGCAAAGACCCACCAAAGGGGGCCACCAGUUACCCACAAGGCAAUAGGGUGCGGCCACCACUGGGCACGCCAUGUUACCUUGUGGGGCCCACGUGGCUCUGCUGACCCCAAUCUGAAGUCUAUAAAUUUUGUCUUCCCGAGAAAAAAAUAAAAGAAGUUUCAUCGUGUUUUACGAUACGGAGCCGCUGCCACCUCUUGUUCUUCAUCGGGAGGGCUGAUCUGGAGUCCGUUCGGGGCACCAUAGACGGGAGUUCGUCGCCAUCAUCAUCACCAAACAUUCUUCAUCACCAAUUUCAUGAUGCUCACCACCGGGAGUGAGUAAUUCCUUCGUAGGCUUGCUGGACGGUGAUGGAUUUGGAUGAGAUUUGUCAUGUAAUUCACUCAAAGGGCUUGAUCCCUAGUAUCCACUAUGUUCUGAGAUUGAUGUUGCUAUGACUUUGCUAUGCUUAAUGCUUGUUACUAUGGCCCGAGUAUGAUACAUCUCGAACGUAUCUACUUUUCCUAACACUUAUCCUCUUGUUUUGGACUCUAAUUUGCAUUAUUUGAAUGAAACGAACCCCGGAUUGACGCUGUUUUUAGCAGAACUACCAUGGUGAUGUUUUUGUGUAGAAAUAAAAGUUCUCGGAAUGGAACGAAACUUUGCGAGGAUUUUUUAUACCAAUAAAGAGAAUUUCUGGAGCCAAGAGCCACCGGAGGGGGGCACCUGGCUGUGCACAACCCACCAGGGCGUGCCUGCCCUCCCAGGCAUGCCCAGGUGGGUUGUCCGCACCUGGUGGCCCCGCAAACCCUGAAACCGACGCUAUAAAAUCCUAUUUUUCCAGAAAAAUCAGGGAGAAAGAAUUAUCGCGAUCCACGAGACGGAGCCGCCGUCACCUCCUGUUCUUCUUCGGGAGGCCAGAUCUGGAGUCUGUUUUGGGCUCCGGAGAGUGGGUACUUCGUUCUUCAUCAUCGCCAACCCUUCUCCAUCGCCAAUUCCAUGAUGCUCCCCACCGGGAGUGAGUAAUUCCUUCAUAGGCUCGCUGGUCGGUGAGGAGUUGGAUGAGAUUCAUCAUGUAAUCUAGUUAGUUUUGUUCGGGCUUGAUCCCUAGUAUCCACUAUGUUUUGAGAUUGAUGUUGCUAUGACUUUGCCAUGCUUAAUGCUUGUCACUUUGGGCCCGGGUGCCAUGGUUUCAGAUCUGAACCAUUUAUGUUAUCACCAUUAUAUCCAUGUUCGAGAUCCGAUCUUGCAAGUUAUAGUCACCUACUACAUGUUAUGAUCUGGCAACCCCCGAGUGACAAUAGUCGGGACCAGUCCCGGUGAUGACCGUAGUUUGAGGAGUUCAUGUAUUCACCGUGUGUUAAUGCUUUGUUCCGGUUCUCUAUUAAAAGGAGGCCUUAAUAUCCCUAAGUUUCCAAUUGGACCCCGCUCCCACGGGAGGGUAGGACAAAAGAUGUCAUGCAAGUUCUUUCCAUAAGCACGUAUGACUAUUUAUGGAAUACAUGCCUACAUUAUAUUUAUGAACUGGAGCUAGUGCUGUAUCGCCCUAGGUUAUGACUGCCACAUGAUGAAUAUCAUCCAACAAAUUAUCGAUCCAAUGCCUAUGAAUUUAUCCUAUAUUGUUCUUGCUAAGUUACUACUGCUAUCGUUACUGUUACAGUUGCUACAAAAUCACUGCUAUCACUUUUACCGUUACUAUUGCUGCUACUACUAUUAUCAAAACUAUCAUACUACUUUGCUACUGAUCACUUUGCUGCAGAUAAUUAAUCUCCAGGUGUGGUUGAAUUGACAACUCAGCUGCUAAUACUUGCAAAUAUUCUUUGGCUCCCCUUGUGUCGAAUCUAUAAAUUUGUGUUGAAUACUCUACCCUCAAAAACUAUUGUGAUCCUGGGUUAUCAAGACCUUUCUCUGGCGCCGCUACCGGGGAGCAUAGCUAUAUUUGUUGAGUCACUUGGGAUUAUUAUCAAUUUAUCACUAUGAAGAAUCCGAAGGAUGCUAAUACUAAGAUUUAUCCCUCUAAGACGAGGGGAGGUAAGGAGCUGCCAUCCAGUUCCGCUUUAGAUUCACCUUCUGUUAUAAGUAAACUUGCAACACCACCACAUGCUAUUAAUCCUGAUAUGUCGCAAGUUAUUAAUGAUGCUACUUCUACUAUGAAUGAUGCUUAUGAUGAUGCUACGCUAGUACGCAUUGGUGCUAUACAAACGGUUUUUAACCCCUUUCUGCGACGGCAUUUGGGACCGUCACCAAGUGAGUGUGGGCGAUAGGGUGUCCUUCCCACACGACCCAGAAACUGUCGGGGAUAUGGAGCAGUGAUCCAGAGGCCUUCCAAAAUGUAAUCGUGUGCGAUGCAGCACACACUAAAUUCUUUCGCACGUGUGGUAUCGGUGAUUAAACAUUUCUAAUGACGCAGUGAAACCAUACGGUCUGUCGUAAUGAACCAUUUGGGAAACAGUAUGUAAGGCACACAGGCCAACAUAUGAACUGUGUGCGAUUUGUGCCCCAUCGCACAUGAGUUUUCUGCGUAACCCGUCUGCCAUGCAAGACUCCAUCGCACACGUUUGCCAACAAUUACCGCCUGCGAUAAUGUUCUAUGACAAAUGGUUCAGGAUCCCCUUCGCAAUCAUACAAGUGCUGCAGACCGUUUGUGAUUUGUUGGGUAUCACCGACGGUUGCCGCAACAGUGACGUGUGCUUUUCGUUUGGGAUCCCACACGUUUCCUGAAAAAUUACAACUGGGAUUGUAUUUUACAUUGGGCACGGUUUACUCCCAGUUCUCGUGUGCGAUAACGCGAUAUCACAAAUGGUUCCGGAGACCCUACACACACGUACUAGCGCUGCAAAUCGUUUGCGAUCUGCUGUGUAUCACUGACGGUUCCGCUAAGAUUGAUGUAUGCUUUCCGAUGUGGAUCGCACACACUCAUCUAGUUGAACCGUGUGCGGAGCAAUUGCCAGGUUAAAACAAAAAUAUCCCAUUUUGGAUCGGCAUGCAAAAAGCAAAUUUGCCACAAUAUUCAAUUGAACAAAUAAAAAAAAUCAUAUUUUGAAUCGGCACGCAAAAAGCAAAUUCGCCACAAUAUUCAAUUGAAUAAAUAAACAAAAAUACCCCAUUUUGAAUCGGCACGCAAAAAGCAAAUUCACCACAAUAUUCAAUUGAACAAAUAGUGUCCACAUGAAGAACAUUCAUCAGAUUUCGCAACAAUUGCAAGUGAACAUAUGGUAGCUAAAUUCCAAUGAUUUGUCCACACAUAUAUGCAUUACAUAAUUAAUAGUAGUGUACGAAAUACGAAGACCUCAUCAGAUGGAAAACAAUGGAUCCAUGUGUUAUAUGUUUAGCAGCUAACUCUUACUCAAUGUUUCAGGAGAAGACAUGCUGAAAUCUUCAUUAUCACCAGUGGGAUUGAUGUAGUGAUCCAGGAAGAAGUUGCUGAUAAAUCUCCGAACCAUCAGCAAUUCACCAGCUGGGAGCGGUUCAGGGGUCAUCGGUUUUAAGAUGAGAUGCAGUAUUUUUAAGAUCAGAAUGUGCCAUAUGAGUGGAGUAGAAGAUAUUAAUUAAGAUAGACUUACUGGUACUAAUUCGCGAGGAUCAUCACAACUAUCAGCAGAUUUGCAUCAAGAUGGGAAUGGGCCGGCCCGGACCUGGCCUUGGACCUGGCCCCGUGGCCCCAAGGUCAAUAUGUGAGGCCAUGGGUCAACCCAUUUCAUCAAAAAUUUGUGGCCUCACUGAGCCAUUGGGUAUAUGAGGCCGACCCAAGAUUAAGAUGGAAAAUCCAUGAAUCCAGUGAUCACAAUCUGAAGACUGGGAAGGCCACUGGGACAGCGAGCUGUACAAGUUAGAGAGGAAUAGUACAUUGACCGGGAUGGCGAGCUCGACGGUGACCAAGACACGAACGACACGCUGGUUUUUCUACGUGCAUGUACUAGUAGUUGACGUAACAAUCAAUCCACCUGUCUCUCUGUCUGCUUCUUGUGUACAACACAUCUCCAACAGAAUCAAUCGAGUUCAUAUACCGUAGAUGUGUCCAGGGGCGUCUCGAAUAGGGUCGGCCAACAGUGACUAGGGCCUAGUGAUUCGACUGGGUCGACCCAUCUGACCCAUCGAGUCACACGAUGCCGGCUCCACUGACCCAUAUAUCAUUUGAGGCCGACCCAUUUGGCCCAUUGGCCUUGAAAUUUCGGGCCGGGUCAGUGACCCAGCGGGCCGACCUGGCCCGUUCCCAUCUUGAGAUUUGCAGAUGGAGAUCAUGUGUCUGCAAACAUAGUAUCCACAAAGGUUGGUCCCUGCUUCUUGCUGAGGACACUGAAUUUUUUUUGUACAGAAUUAGUCAUGUAUUUGUCCUGUUAGGAACAACCUAACCGGUGUUAGAUGUAUUAUUUUUUCUUUGGAUAAAAUAGAAAGAGGAUUAUUUAGAAGCUUGAACAUUUGACUAGCGUAAGGAAAGGUAUUUGCAGACUGUUGGAUAAAUUUUCCGAAAAUAACGGAUUUCGGUGUAUUACCGGAGAAACGAUCUCGUGCUGCAGAGGUAGUUCCCUCUUGAACAGUUUCCCUGGUUUAGUUUUCCACAAUGCGAGCACACUGCAAAUGAUGAUGAAUUUUGACAACAUCAAUUAUUGAACCAGAUAUGAAUGCAAAUUAAUUUCAACAUCAUAGAAUUCAAUACCUAUCCAUGACUUGCUGAAAAUGCGUUAGAUCCUCAGCGUUUGUUAACUCUUUGAGAGAAUCGAUGUAGUAAACUGUGUUCUUGUUUGGAACAAUGAAUACCAAUAUCCAGUGAUCGCUACAUAUUAAGAAAGCCAUAAACUUACGAAUUAUGUCGAAAUCUGAAAGACAAUAAGUGUAUGUGUGGUUGUUUACUCUACUUACUGUUCAUGAUAUGGUGAUGUCUACUACGCAACUUUAUUCUUGUAGACUCGUGUUGGGCCUCCAAGCGCAGAGUUUUGUAGGACAGUAGCAAGUUUCCCUCAAGUGGAUGACCUAAGGUUUAUCAAUCCGUGGGAGGUGUAGGAUGAAGAUGGUCUCUCUCAGACGACCUUGCAACCAAAUACAAGAAAUCUCUUGUGUCCCCAACACACCCAAUACAAUGGCAAAUUGUAUAGGUGCACUAGUUCGGCGAAGAGAUGGUGAUAAAAGUGUAAUAUGGAUGGUAGAAAUAUAUUUUUAUAAUCUGAAUAAAUAAAAACAGCAAGGUAGCAAAUAGUAAACAGGCACAAAAACAUUAUUGCAAUGCUUGAAAACAAGGCCUAGGGUCCGUACUUUCGCUAGUGCAACCUCUCAACAAUGCUAACAUAGUUGGAUCAUAUGAUUAUCCCUCAAAGUGUAAUAAAGAAUCACUCCGGAGUUCCUAUUAGCGGAGAACAAAAGAUAGAUAUUGUUUGUAGGUUACGAGACCACCUCAAAGCUAUUCUUUCCGUCCAAUCUAUUCAAGAGUUCGUACUAGAAUAACACCAAAGCAAAUUCAUAUUCAUAAUACUCAAUCCACACAAAGAACUAUAAAGAAACCCCAAAGUUUCUACCGGAGAAAAACAUGCAGCAACCCCUACGCAUAGAUUACCCUAAUAUCAUCGCGGGAAUUGGUGAGUUGAAUGCCAAGAUACAUAUCAAGUGAAUCAAUAUGAUACCUCAAUUGUCACCUCAAGAAUUCAUACCGCAAGAUAUAUAUCAUGUGUUCUCAUCUCUGAAUAUUCAAUCCGACAAGACAAAACUUCAAAGGGUAAAGAUUCAAUUCAUCAUAACAAGAGUAUAGAGGGUAGAAACAUCAUAUGAUCCGACUAUAUUAACAAAGCCCAUGAUAGUGAUCACGAGAGAGAGAGAGAGAGAGAGAGAGAGAUCAAACACAUAGCUACUGGUACAAACCCUCAGCCCCGAGGGUGGACUACUCCCUCCUCAUCAUGGUGGCCGCCGGGAUGAUGAAGAUGGCCACCGGAGAUGAUUCCCCCGUCCGGCACGGUGCCGAAACGGGUCUAGAUUGGUUUUAGGUGGCUACGGAGCCCUGCGGCGGCGGAACUUCUGAUCUAGGUUAAGCCCGAUGGGUUUCAGAAUAUUUGGGAAUUUAUAGUGCAAAGAGGGGUGCGGGAGGCCACCGAGGUGGGCACAACCCACCUGGGCGCGCCAGGGGGGCCUGACGCGCCCUGGUGGGUUGUGCCCCCUCGGGGCACCCCCCAAGUGCUGCUCUGGCCCCAUGGAUGUCUUCUGGCCCAUAAAAAAAUCUCCGUGGAGUUUUGUUGCGUUUGGACUCCGUUUGGUAUUGAUUUCCUGCGAUGUAAAAAACAAGCAAAAACAGCAAGUGGCACUGGGUCAAUAGGUUAGUCCCAAAAAAUGAUAUAAAGUUGCUAUAAAAUGAUUGUAAAACAUCCAAGAAUGAUAAAAUAACAGCAUGAAUACUUCAUAAAUUAUAGAUACGUUGGAGACGUAUCAGCAUCCCCAAGCUUAAUUCCUACUCGUCCUCGAGUAGGUAAAUGAUAAAAGAAAUAAUUUAUGAAGUGUGAAUGCUAGCAAAGUGCAUAAGUUUGAUCAAUAAUAAUUUCAAUCACUUUUCCUAGCAUCAUAACAGCAAUUCUUUCUUAUAAAACUUCUCAUGUUAUAGUGGCAACCAAUUCACAUGUUAAGGUUCAAACAAUGAACUCUCUUGAAACUCAACAACCUAUGUUCUUAGUCAGCAAGCAAUUGCAAUUCAACUUAUUCAAGAGAGUUUAAGUAAGAGAUCCACAUACUCAACCAUCAUAUGGUCUUCUAUGAUUGCUAACACUCACCGCAUACACAUGAGCAAAAUGUUUCAACCGAACACAUAGAAAGAUAGGGGCUUAUUGUUUUGCCUCCCAACGUAUUCACCUCAAGGGUGAUGUCAACAAUAAUAACUCAUGCUACCCAUAUUCAACUGGACAUAUGUGCCUAGAUCUUUGCUCACCACAUGAUGCUUUCCAAAAGAGAAAAAUAAAAAGGAAUAGAGAUAAUGACUUUGACUCUUUGCAUAAAAAUAAAUACUGAAAAUUAAAAGAUAGGCCCUUCUCAGAGGGAAGCAGAGGUUGCCAUGCGCUUAUUUGUUUGUAUGCUCAAUCCCUUAGUGCAAAAGAACGUCACGUUAUAUUGCCCCUUAUGAUAGCAACCUUAUUAUGCAGUCCGUCGCUUUUAUUGCUCUGCCAUCAUAAGUUCGUACAACGCUCAAUUUUCUCUUACACUAAAUGAUCUAACACUUUUAGAAGCAAUUUUUAUUGCCUUAUUGCACCGAUGACAACUUACUUGAAGGAUCUUGCUCAAUCCUUAGGUAGGUAUGGUGGACUCUUGAAAAUAAGAUUUGGGUUUAAGGGUUUUUGGAUGCACAAGUAGUAUCUCUACUUAGUGCGGAAUUUUUGGCUAGCAAAGAUGAAGGCAACUCUCUGGGUCCCUACCGACGCUGGGGUGCGAAAGCAUGGGGAGCGAACGGGAUUAGAUACCCUGGUACUCCAUGCCGUAAAUGAUGAGUGUUCGCCCUUGGUCUACGCGGAUCAAGGGCCCAGCUAACGCGUGAAACACUCCGCCUGGGGAGUACGGUCGCAAGACCAAAACUCAAAGGAAUUGACGGGGGCCUGCACAAGCGGUGGAGCAUGUAGUUUAAUUCGAUACAACGCGCAAAACCUUAGAGUCUAUGAAAAUAUGACUUCUAUGUGAAUAUGAGCAAACAUAAAUCAUUACGUUGUCUUCCUUGUCCAAUGUCAACAAUUUCGGCAUAUAAUAUUUUGAUUGGGGCUCACAAUCACAAAAGAUUUCCAUGAUAGUGUAUUUGCAUGUGAAAGUUCUCUUCCUUAUACUAAUUAUUCGUGAAUUGCUUGUAUGACCAAAAUUGUGAUUGUCAAGCCUCAAAAGGUUUCAUUUACUAAACCCAAUGUGAAGCUACCACUAGGCAUGAUAUGAUUUCAACUUCAUGACAUUCAAUUUAUUCAACAAUUUACUCAUAGGAUAUAAGUGAAGCACAAUAGUAAAUGACAAGCUACUCCAAAAAGAUAUAAGUGAAGAUCAUGCGAGUACUUAGGUAAAUAGGUAGCUAAUUGUGGACUCUCUCUUAUUUAAAAACCUUCAGAUCUAAGUAUUUUAUUAAAACAGCAAGCAAAAACAAAAUAAAAUAUCAUUCUAAGAAUAGCACACAUCAUGUGAAGAAGCAAAAACUUAGGCUCAACCGAUACUAACCGAUAGUUGUUGAAGAAGAAAGAUGGGAUGCCUACCGGGGCAUCCCCAAGCUUAGAUGCUUGAGAAUUCUUGAAUAUUAUCUUGGGAUGCCUUGGGCAUCCCCAAGCUUGAGCUUUUGUGUCUCCUUAAUUCUUCUCAUAUCACGGUUUUCCUAAAUCUCAAAAGCUUCAUCCACACAAAACUCAACAAGAACUCGUGAGAUAAGUUAGUAUAAACUAAUGCAAAAACCCUAUCAUUCUCUACUGUAGCAAAUCACUAAAAUUAUUAUUCAACAUUACAUACUAAAUUCCUCUGCAUAUUUAAUACUCCUAUCCUCAAAUAGAUUCAUUGAACAAGCAAGCAUAUGCAAACAUAACAACAAUCUGCCAAAACAGUAGAGUCUGUAAAGAAUGCAAGAGUAUAAAUACUUAUUGAAAUCCAAACAUUAUGAAAUUAAACCACACUGUAGAAAAUUUAUCAGAUAUUAUUAUGCAAAAAAAUUCAACAUUUUAUCACAUUCUGACUUUCCUCGGGAAUUUUUGCAACAUCGAUAAACUUUCUGUUUUGAAACAGCAACAUGUAGACUUGCAAAAUAAGCAUGGCAAAGGCUAUACUUGACACUUUUAUUGCAAUAAAAGAUGCAAAAUGUUAUUCUAAAUAACAGAAAGAAAAUCUAACAAAAUAAAAUGACGCUCCAAGUAAAACUCAUAUCAUGUGACGAAUGAAAACAUAGCUCCUAGUGAGGUUACCGAUAAUGUUUGAGACGAAAGAGGGGAUGCCUUCCUGGGCAUCCCCAAGCUUAGUUGCUUGGAUCUUCCUUGGAUAUUACCUUGGGGGUGCCUUGGGAAUCCCCAAUCUUAGGGUAUUUUCACUCCUUAUUCUCUUCAUAUCGAUAUCUCACCAACAACUUGAAAACUUCAAUCACACAAAACUUAACGGAAGUUCGUGAGAUAGGUUAGUAUGAUAAAGAGCAAACCAUUUCACUUUUGGUACUGUCAAAGAAAAGAUUCAUAAUUGUUCUCACACCAUUCCUACUAUAGCAUAUCAUUUCCACAAUUUAUAUUGAGAAAUAUAAGCCAUAGAAACUAGAAAGCAACCAAACUAUGCAUUGGAAACAGAAUCUGUCAAAAACAGAACAGUCUGUAAUGAUCUGGAUAACUACCAUACUUUCGCUACUGCAAAAAUUAUGAAAAAAAUAUGAACACGUGAUCAAUUUGUAUAUUAAACUUCUUCAAAAAUAAUCAACGCAAUAUCACUCUUCUGUUAAAAAUGAGACUUAUUUUCGUGAGCGCAAAAUUUUCUGUUUUUCAGCAGGGUCAAAUCAACUAUCACCCAACAUGAUCCGAAAGGCUUUACUUGGCACUUUAUUGAAACAAAAGCAAUAAAACAUGAUUAAUAGAGUAGCUUAAUCAUGUUAACACAUAAAAACAGUAGGUAAAAGUGUUGGGUUGUCUCCCAACAAGCGCUUUUCUUUAAUGCCUUUUAGCUAGGCAUGAUGACUUCAAUGAUGCUCGCGUAAAAGAUAAGAAUUGAAACAUAAAGAGAACAUCAUGCAUGAUAAGUUCCUCUCUCAUAAUAAUUUUCAGUAGCAUCAUGAAUAUAUUCAUCAAUAUAACCAUUACAUAAAGCAUUCUUUUCAUGAUCCACAAGCAUAGAAAAUUCAUUACUCUCUAUGGCAUACAUGUCAUCAUAAUAAUCAUCAUAGAAAGCAACUUUAUUGCCAUAGUUAGUUGAAACCUCUUCCAAAAUAGUGGAUGUAUCACUAAAUAAAGUCAUGACCUCUCCAAAUCCACUUUCAUCAAUAUUGUAAUGAGAUUUAACACCCUCCAAAAUAGUGGGAUCACUACUACCUAGAGUUGACACUCUUACAAACCCACUUUUAUCAAUGUAAUCAUCGUAAAGAGGAGGCAUGCUAUCAUCAAAAUAAGUUUGAUCAAUCAAAGUAGGGGGACUAAAAAGAUCAUCUUCAUUAAACAUAGCCUCCCCAAGCUUGGGACAAACAUUAAUUGCAGCAAAUAAAUUCUCAAACAUGUCAUUCUCAUCAAACAUAACAUCCCCAAGCUUGUGGCUUGGCAUAUCAUAAGCAUAAUCACUCUCAUCAUUAAUAGUAUGAAUAGCACCAAUGGUAUAACAAUUGCUAUCAUCAUACUUUCCCAAGUUGGCGCCAAAAAUAUUUCCAAUAUUAUAAGAAGUAUCAUUAUCUUCCCAAUCAUAAUCAUCACAACAAGCAAUAGGCAUAACAAAAUCAUCAUCAAGUGUAUCAUCUUCCACAAUUAUUUUUGAUUCGUUUUCAUGAGGCACAACAAUAAUAGGAGCAACAUUAUUUGGGAGAGAUACCUUUUUACCUCUCUUCUUUCCUCUUUUCUUCUUCUUCACCACAUCACGUGUGGGUUUAAUUAAUCUUUUCAAGCUUCUUAUUGAUGAUAUUGCUUGGAUAGGAAGCUCCUCCUCGUUACCCGAUUCAUCAUAAUAAACACUAGGAGGGUAUUGAUACGUCCAUUUUGCAUCAUGCUUUUAUAUCGAUAUUUAUUGCAUUUUGGGCUGUUAUUACACAUUAUGUCACAAUACUUAUGCCCAUUCUCUCCUAUUUUACAAGGUUUACAUGAAGAGGGAGAAUGCCGACAGCUGGGAUUCUGGGCUGGAAAAGGAGCAAAUAUUAGAGACCUAUUCUGCACAGCUCCAAAAGUCCCGAAAGUUCACGGAAGUCAUUUUUGGAAUUAAUAAAAAAUACUAGGCGAAGAAAAUACCAGAGGGGGCCCACACCCUGGCCACGAGGGUGGGAGGCGCGCCCUACCCCCUGGGCGCGCCCCCUGCCUCGUGGGCCCCCUGGCAGGCCUCCGAUGCCCAUCUUCUGCUAUAUGAAGUGUUUCGUCCGAGAAAAAUCAUAUGCAAGCUUUCGGGAAGAAACUCCGCCGCCACGAGGCGGAACCUUGGCGGAACCAUUCUAGGGCUCCGGCGGAGCUGUUCUGUCGGGGAAACUUCCCUCUGGGAGGGGGAAAUCAUCGCCAUCGUCAUCACCAACGAUCCUCUCAUCGGAGGAGGGUCAAUCUCCAUGAACAUCUUCACCAGCACCAUCUCCUCUCAAACCCUAGUUCAUCUCUUGUAUCCAAUCUUUGUCCCAAAGCCUCAGAUUGGUACCUGUGGGUUGCUAGUAGUGUUGAUUACUCCUUGUAGUUGAUGCUAGUUGGUUUAAUUGGUGGAAGAUCAUAUGUUCAGAUCCAUUAUGCAUAUUAAUACCCCUCUGAUUAUGAACAUGAAUAUGAUUUGUGAGUAGUUACGUUUGUUCCUGAGGACAUGGGAGAAGUCUUGCUAUA